AGCUGCUGCCAGGCGUGGAGGUGAAUGACGAAAUCACCAAGGCCAAGGAAUCCGUCACCGCCAUCUUCAAGGCCGCCGAGGCCUACCUCAUCGCCAACCCCGACGCCUAUAACUGAAUCUGUUGAGAGAUAUCAUACAUGAUUAUGAUGUCCCUAGUUUGAAUUCCGUGUGUUUUCUUCCCGAUGUAAUAAAGCUGCUCCAAUCUCUAAGCUAUAAUAGUGACGCCGAGCGCGAGAGCACCGCCAGAGUGUGGACGUGAGAAGUUAAAAGGUUGAGUAUUUGUAACUACCAAAGGGUUCUGUUGUUUGAUGAUAUUGGUGCUUGCUUAUGUGAAAUACCUAAACACUCUUAUAUACUGCCUCAAUUCUAUAAUUCUUGUCAUAGUUUUAGUUUUGACCUAAAAGCACAACAAGAAUAACGGAACGGAGGGAGUUUUUGGAUUUGGAAGUUUAUGUGUCGACCUCUUACACAAAUCCUAUAUGUAUGUGUAAUACCUAAACACUCUCCCGAAAAUAGAAAAGCUAAACACUCUUAUGUGCAAAAAAGAAAAAUGUUUGCAUGUCAUCAAAGUCUGUUUAUAGGAAUCCAAGAAAGACAUUUAUUUGCUACUCCAUUUGCUUCUAAAUAUAAAUCCUUUUAGAGAUUUUAAUAUGUAUACCAUAAGUAGCAAAAUGAGUGAAUCUAAACUCUAAAAUACGUUUGUAUACUUAUGUAUGUAGUCCAAAUUAAAAUCUCUAAAAUCCUUAUAUUUAGAAUGGGAGGGAGUCGAACAUAAUUUCGUUUUCUCUUUUCAAGUUGUAAGAGACAGUUGACAUGUCAUUGUGUUUUAUUUUGGCACCAUUUUUCGACAAGUGCAUCUAUAAUCUAUUGGGUCCUUGUUGGCAAGUGAAAUCCACGUUCUUCAUGUAUCCCCUUUUCAAAGCGAACUUACAUUUGUGCGUAAUGAAUAAAAUGCAAAUUGUAUCAGGAGUCCUUAAACUACCACAACCUUCUUACUUGCCUUUUUAUUUUUUUAUUUUGAGACUCCGUAAUCUUUUGUCCAUUUCUCCCAUGACUCCUUUUAACCAUCAGACUAAAAAAUUCCGUUUGAGCCAUGGGCACAAGGGUGGGAAUAUCAUACGAGAAACUAAACAGGUUUACAGGGGCCCAUAAUAUCGCCGAAAAUAAGAGAGCCAACUCAGAAGUUGUGAUAGCCCCCACCACCACCCACACACACUAAAGAGCAUCGAUAGAUUAGGAAGUAUCGUGGUACGAGGAAUAUAUAAGUUUGCAACACUAAUGGAAAAUUAGUAUUUGUUUCUCUUCUACUGUCUACUGAAAUAGGAUGUUCUUUUCAUCGCCCCUCCUAGCCUAGAGACCCUCAUCCGAUUUGAUACCUUCCUCCUAACUGCCUAUCAAACUUUGGUCAUUUUGCUUGCUGUUAUGAUGUUGGUUUCCAUUUUGAGGUUCCAAAAUAUAUUGGGAACUACUAAAAUCGCUACUUAUUUGACAAAGCUAGGAUAAAGCUAAAGAUAACCACACUCAUUCCUCCUCCCCAAGAAAAGAACCAGGGCGAUCGGGUUUCCUCCUCCUCCCGUCAGCGCCAUCGCCGGUUCGCCCCAUCUCAGAUGGCCUUUGGUCCGUCACUACUAGAAAAAGGGCUAUAGAUAAAAUUGACACUAAUGGCGCACCAGAAAAGUGGUGCACCACUACUAUAUACUAAUGGCGCACCAUGUGCCGAUGCGCCAUUAGUGUGGAAGACACUAAUGACGCACCAGACACAAGGUGUGCCACUAGUAACAUUUUUUUUCAUUUUUCCAAACAUACUAAUGGCGCAUCCAGGCAAAGUGCGCCAUUACUAGUUCUAACUAGUAAUGGCGCACCAACCAUAGAGUGCGCCACUAAUGUAUUUUUUUAUUCUUAUUUUUUGCAAAACUACUAAUGACGCACCGUGGCACAGUGCGCCAUUACUAGUUUACACUAGUAAUGGCGCACAAUGCCACGGUGCNNNNNNNNNNNNNNNNNNNNNNNNNNNNNNNNNNNNNNNNNNNNNNNNNNNNNNNNNNNNNNNNNNNNNNNNNNNNNNNNNNNNNNNNNNNNNNNNNNNNNNNNNNNNNNNNNNNNNNNNNNNNNNNNNNNNNNNNNNNNNNNNNNNNNNNNNNNNNNNNNNNNNNNNNNNNNNNNNNNNNNNNNNNNNNNNNNNNNNNNNNNNNNNNNNNNNNNNNNNNNNNNNNNNNNNNNNNNNNNNNNNNNNNNNNNNNNNNNNNNNNNNNNNNNNNNNNNNNNNNNNNNNNNNNNNNNNNNNNNNNNNNNNNNNNNNNNNNNNNNNNNNNNNNNNNNNNNNNNNNNNNNNNNNNNNNNNNNNNNNNNNNNNNNNNNNNNNNNNNNNNNNNNNNNNNNNNNNNNNNNNNNNNNNNNNNNNNNNNNNNNNNNNNNNNNNNNNNNNNNNNNNNNNNNNNNNNNNNNNNNNNNNNNNNNNNNNNNNNNNNNNNNNNNNNNNNNNNNNNNNNNNNNNNNNNNNNNNNNNNNNNNNNNNNNNNNNNNNNNNNNNNNNNNNNNNNNNNNNNNNNNNNNNNNNNNNNNNNNNNNNNNNNNNNNNNNNNNNNNNNNNNNNNNNNNNNNNNNNNNNNNNCAAGCUUGUCGGCUGCCUCCUUCUCCUCACCUCAUUUGCACCAUAGAUUCAUCAAAAUUAAGUGGUGAAAUUACCUUUUUUUGAUAGGUAAGUAAGGGGAAAGCUAUCUUCAUGCUGUAGAUCUACUUUUUUUCUCCCUAACUCGCUCCAACAACGUGCACAUGCACUUUUUGUGGCCUAGCUAGAUCUAUGUAUGUUCGUGGUGUUGCAUAUAUAUUUGUGUUUGCAGGUACCGGUAUUUGAAAUGCGAUAGUUGCCAAUAUUUUGCCGGAAUGUUGAUUCAUUUCCGUUUCGGCGAGAAUUUUGGCACUAUGCAUUCUUUUUGGUCCUAUUUUUAGGGAAAGUCAUGCCAANNNNNNNNNNUUUUUUCUUGGUUCUAAAAUAUCGUUUUGCUCUACCCCGCAGGCGACCAUGGUCCGCACGAUGACCGAAGGCAUCGUGAAUAGGUUUUUGAGCUCCGCGAAGGCCGAGAUGCUUCAAAAGAAUGAGAUGGAGAUAAGAUGUCCGUGUCGAAGAUGCAAGCUGAAGAGCCUUAUUGCGGACCCGGAUUCCGGGCAGGUGCGGGACCACCUGCUCUUGCGUGGUUUCAUGGAUGACUAUCAGUGGCAAGGUGAUGAAAAUGACUAUGAAGUCGUCCAUGGGGGCCGGGCAAGAAAUGAGGAAGGGCAGCAAGACAACCACCGCGGCUCGGGCGGGCGAGAAGACAAAGAAUCUCCAGGACAUGAUCACGACGGUGAUGCUGUACACAGUCAUCAUGUAGAAGAUGCCGGACAUGAUGAUGAGGAAGAUGCCGGAGCAGACGAAGGGCAUGAUCAUGAAGAUGAAGAUGCCGGCGGAGCAGACGACGAUGGACCAUCGAUGGGCUGGGUGCAGGACCCUCAUAUUCAAGAGCUGCUUCUCAAGCAGACGGAUAACGCAAGAGCUGCCGCCCGAGAGAAAGCCAAGCUGGAUCAACUGGAGAUAGACGCGGUUACUCCAUUGUAUGAAGGAUGCAGGACUGAAGAUACCCGCCUGAAAGUAACGCUCAUGCUCUGGAGAUGAAGGUAAAACACAAAAUGACCGACGCAUGCUUCGACGAGAACAUGUCAUUCUGGCAUGAACGUCUUCCCAAGGGGAACAAGUGCCCUACCAAUUUCAAGGAGGCGAAGAAAAUCGUGUGUCCUCUGGAUUUACCGCAUGUGAAAUACCAUGUGUGCAUGAACAAUUGCAUCAUUUAUCGGGACGAGCACGCGGAGUCUACCAUAUGUCCGGUGUGUGGCGUCACUCGAUACAAGAAGAGGAAUAAAGCUCCUCGAAAAGUGGUGUGGUACUUUCCGAUCACUCCUCGUUUGCAGCGGUAUUUUGCAGACCCUAAGGUAGCAAAGCUCCUGCGUUGGCACGCGGAUAGGGAGGAGAAGAAGCGAGAAAAUGACGCAAAUGAUCCAGAGAUAAAUAAAAAAGACAAGAUGCUGAGUCACCCUAAGGAUGGGAGCCAGUGGCUAGCGUUGAACUUCGAACACCCAGAAUUUGGGAAGGAUCCAAGGAACAUCAUGCUGGGCGCGAGCACCGAUGGAGUCAAUCCGUUUGGCAGCCACAGAAGCACACAUAGCACCUGGCCUGUGUUUGUGUGGAUGUACAACCUUCCCCCCUAGUUAUGCAUGAAGAGGAAGUACAUUCACAUGAGUAUGCUAAUUGAAGGGCCGAAACAACCAGGGAACGACAUCAAUCUGUAUCUGGGGCUACUGAAGGAGGAGCUAGACACGCUGUGGAAAAUGCCAGCCAAUACGUGGGACGCCGCAGAGAAAGAAUAUUUCCCUAUGAGAGCCGCACUGCUCACGACGGUGCACGACUAUCUCGGUUACGGAUAUCUCGCGGGGCAGGUGGUCCACGGAUUUUUUGGAUGCGUCAGGUGCAUGGAUGACACAACGUAUCGCCAGCUAGAUAGAGAUCCCGGGUCUUCGAAAACUGUCUUCAUGGGACAUCGAAGGUGGCUUCGCGACGAUGACCCGUGGAGGAAACGCAAGGAUCUGUUCGAUGGUGAAACCAAACCCCGAAGACGCAAGGAUCCGGACAACGACGACAGUACAUUUACCAACGUUGAUAAGUACUUUGCCGAACAUGGGUACGGUGACAAGUUCUGCGGGCCUCCUUCUCAAGAACCCAACCAAGAAGACCGCGAUCUAGCUGGUACGGCAGAGAAACCCAGUUGCAACAGGCGUCGUCUGGCGUUCAGUUCUCAGGAGACGCCUCCAGCUGCCGCCUUCACCAAGCCUCAGAUAGCUGAGGUGCGAAAUAUUAUCAGUCCCAACACGCUCAAGAAGGCAGUCUGUGAGCAGAACUCGGUCCCAUUACAACAGAUCAAGAAGAAGAGCCAGAAACGAAAGACUAAAAAGGGCGCCGGUGCGAGCCAGCCGGCACCGAGUACGAUCCAUGCUCAGGACGGGCCACCUUCAUCUAAGGAUAUCUCGAGGAGGGUGCAUGUGGCGGGUAGGGCGAUGCUACCGACAAAUAUGCUCAAUGCUGCAACCGGUGCUAUGCGGAGUCUGCACGACAGUGUUCUUUCUUUGGAGAAGCGGCGUCUCAGAGAGAAUGAUGUGGCAUACCCGGUUUUCGUGGCCAAGGUGCCAGAGGGCAAGGGCUUUGUGGAUGGCGCCGUCGGGGGUACGAUCGUCCUCGGUUUGAUGACAUCUUUGCUAUGUUUAACCUUCAUCCGCUGCACUACACCUUUGUUCGGUUGUUUUCCUUGAGUAUUGAGAUGCGGAUCAUUAGAGACAAGACCCCGGACAUCGUGAUAGUCGACCCCUUCUACAUGCGUGCCAAGCCCUUGAGCAGCACCGGGGACCGCCAAUUCACGAGUUCACACCUCGAAGGCGUCAUUCUGGAAAACCCAGAUAAGGAUAACUUCCUUGUGGCUUACUUUCCCGAGUAAGUCAUCCCUUAACUGCCCCGUAACAUAUGAUUUCUUAGAUUUCGAUCGUUCUUUUUUUUCUAACAUUUCAUGUUAUGUGCAGUGACACACAUUGCACACUCAUCCUCUUAAGCCCGGAAUAUUCCAUGACCACGUAUUUCGACCCGAACCGUGGUCCAAGAUAGACUACACAAAUAUCAAGAAAGUUCUUGAUGAUGUUCUCCCCGGCUACGCCAAAUCUGGAGGCACCUUCACCAGGGCAGUUCAUAAGUACGGCAAGCAUGUGUUCGCCCACAAUACUAAGUUUUGCUGCGUCAAGCAGCCGCCUGGCGGUCAGAAGGAUGCCUACUACGCCCUCCAUCACAUGUGGGCGAUCGUAAGGGACCAUCAUCACCUUCUGCUACCAGAUAAUCUCAAAUAUUGGGCCGCGAGCUUGUCGGCAAUCCAGGACGUGGACAUCAGACAAGAAUUCUUUCACAUCCAGUCGGAGUUUACGGACAUCAUCCAUCAAGAUGUCCUUCAUACCUCGGGGCAGUUCUACCUCAGAUAUCAACCGUCCAACAGUGAGAUAGACGGAACGCUACAAAUGCAGGCUGACAACGCCCGUGAUUUCAUGACCAUCACGACAGACGACGGCUUCAUCCACGCUCCUGUCCCAUGAGUCGAGUCGAAAGUAGUGAUGUGUAGUUCUGAAACAUUGAUUGGCUCAUGUUGUAAUUAAACUUUAAUGAAUUGUAUGUCUCUUUGGUUUGGACAGUCGUUCAACUUAGAUGUAAUCGAUGCUAUUUAUUAGUAGGACCAUGAAUCGUGCUAUUAAUGUCUUGCUUUUCUCUUUCGAUCCUUUUGUUGGAUACUUAUAUAUUGCUUAUGUAUGGUCUGUUGUUUGGCUUGUGCAUAGAGAUGUCGUCGUAUGUCGUGUACAAGGGUAAGGUUCCCGGAGUCUACGACGACUGGAAGGAGUGUCGGAGACAGGUUCACCGUUUUAGCGGUAAUAGUUACAAAGGGUACACCACUAGGGCGGAGGCGGAAUCUAGAUACGCCCGCUAUCUAGCGGGAUAGAGAGGAGGGAGGGUUGGAGGAACCGGAUGAAGACCAGUUUCAUCACGAUGAUGCUCAUCAUGAUGAUCGCAGCUCUCUUCUAUGUGAUGGUAGUUUAGAUGAUCGAUAUUGACUUGUAAUGUGAAGACAAACUCGAUACUCGCGAUCUCGAGACUUGUAAUGUUUUAUCUUUGUUCGGUCUUUUGAAUUCGGAAACUAAUAUGAUGAAUUGUAUUCGGAGACUAAUCUUCUACUGUAUUCGAUGAAUCUGCUGUUGCUGUGUACUGUUGUCUAUAUUCUGUCCAAUAAUAUAUUUUGUAACCUGUGCAAAAAUCAGAAAAGUAAAAAAUACCUAGUAUUCAUACUAAUGGCGCAUCACCUCAAGGUGCGCCAUUAGUAUGCCAAAGGAUACUAAUGGCGCAUCACUACAGAGUGCGCCAUUAGUACGCCAAAGGAUACUAAUGGCGCAUCACCCCACAGUGCGCCAUUAGUAUGCCAAAGCACAUGGUUAAAUAUGGCCCCCUGGGAGGCAUACUAAUGGCGCAUGGUGUUCUAUACUAAUGGCGCACUGCGUGGUGCGCCAUUAGUAAAAAAUUAUAGUGGCGUGAUACUAAUGGCGCACCAGUAGUGCGCCAUUAGUAGGCAAAACUGGUGCGCCAUUAGUAGACCUUUUCCUAGUAGUGCGUGGAGGUGCGAAGGACCUCGACCCUCCGCCGGCAGGAGGGAUCCCACUCUUGUUCUUGUUAGGUUCACACUCUUGGUUGGGGUUAUAUGAUGGUGGCGAUGUCCCUCAAUAGGAAUCAUGUUGGUCACAUUCAAUCCCCGUCCCCAUGGUGCAUCUACAAUCGCUGGAGGGCGUUUGGAGGUGUGUAUUCACCAGAUCUCCCGGGAUUCAGUCGGUGCCGGUCUUUAGAAGAUCUAUUUUAAUCUAGUAUUUCUUUGGGUGCUUAUGACGUUUGAUCCUUUCGAUCUACGAUUCUCUUCAUCGGUGAUGGUUGCUACUCCAGUGUGUUGGUCCUUUGGGGUUUUAGCACGAUGACUUCCUGGCUGUCUACUAUAACAAGAUUUGCGAAACUCAAGUGAGGGAGGGGCGAUGACGGCGUCGUGCCUUUGGCUUGAUCUAGUGCUUGUAGUCAUUCCUAGGUGAUAAUUUUCUUAUAAUUUUUGUGACCUCUGAUGUUCUCUUUACUCAUGAUUGAUUAUGAAUAGAUCAAAAGUUUCUCAUGUAGAAACUACAUAGUUUAUCUUUUGGAUUUUUUACAUGGAGGCCUUGGCCUCAAUCAACUAAUUAAAUAGAACAGAGUUGUCAUGUUAAUUUGGGUAAAAUCAGGCGAAAACCGAAAUUAUGCGCACAAAGGCCGAUUGUGAUGUAGCAUGACAAUUGCCAAUAGGGAAUCCCCGACCAAUAUUACUACCGACACAAACCUACAGAUACGCCGGUAAUAAGAGAACAACCGUCAAGACUGCCCAUAAGCACCAAAGUCAUCACCAACCGCCUUUGAUCCAGCUAGUCCGACUUUGCCACACACAAUCACCAACGAUGCUAUCCUCGCGACAUCCGUCCAAGCACCGUAGCGCCAACAAUAGGUACUCCAACUUUGACAACAAGGUUUACAAGAGAAAUAUGGAAGGCAUGCGCUGCCCUAGCCCCCCGAUAUGGGCACCUUCAUAUUUCAUUCUCACCAGCAAAACCACCACGCCAGCUCCAACUUUGCAAGGAAUGAUGAAACCCGAAAAGACCCAUCGGAGAAAUCCAAAAAGGUUUAAUGCCGAAGCAUGCAAAAAUUAUGUGGAACCUCAGUGUUGUCAUCAUCGCUAAACAAACCAUGUUGUACGGAUCCAGAGUAGUCUCCUUGGCAUCCACGCCGAACAAUCGAUCCAGUCCCGGCUCUAGCAAUCGAACCGUGGACAUCCAUGUUGACCCCUAUACUCACACGAAUUGUAUUCGAGUGAACCUUUGGUUACCAUAUUCUAUUCCUUUUGCUUUAUGAUACUUUACAAAAAUCCGGGUCAGAUAUAUCGGCAUCCNNNNNNNNNNNNNNNNNNNNNNNNNNNNNNNNNNNNNNNNNNNNNNNNNNNNNNNNNNNNNNNNNNNNNNNNNNNNNNNNNNNNNNNNNNNNNNNNNNNNNNNNNNNNNNNNNNNNNNNNNNNNNNNNNNNNNNNNNNNNNNNNNNNNNNNNNNNNNNNNNNNNNNNNNNNNNNNNNNNNNNNNNNNNNNNNNNNNNNNNNNNNNNNNNNNNNNNNNNNNNNNNNNNNNNNNNNNNNNNNNNNNNNNNNNNNNNNNNNNNNNNNNNGAUCGCUCUGACGCCGGCGGCCACCAUCGAGCCCUGCUGCCAUCGCCUUCCCGGCGGCAAGGGCGCCCAACACCACUCGCCAGUGGCCACCCUGUCGUGCCGCCGCCAACGACCUUGCUGCUGCUCGAGCGACGAUCGCCCUGUCGCCAACGGCCGCCAUCGACAGCCGACCUCCCGUUGCUGGUGAUCAUCAUCAUCCACGACCGGCUCUGCAGUUUAGCUCCUCCAAGUAGGCCAAACGCUAGAGAGGCUAGCAGGUUUUCUCUUUGCCCUAGUUUGCCGCAUCUGUUGUCCACCAAGUCCACCGCUGUUAGCAGUCAUUCUGAUCCACCCUGCUCGUUCUCCCACCCUUAGUAGUCAGUACACUCUCUCCAGCUCAUUUAUUUAUUCCAAGAGCUCCCUCUCUUGAUGCAUGACAACCACUGCUUCUAUAGACUUGAUUAGAUCCUAGCUUGCUGCUCUCCCCGUACGACUAAGCUUGUAGUAACAGCUCUUUCACGCCCUUGGGGAGGUUUGUUUCCUUGCAUGCAUGAUGAGCCCUAGCUCGUCCUCGAGUUUUGGAAGAUAUGGACACGCCUGACGAUGUAGGCUUUAGAGAAGCCAUGAAGCCACCGGACGAAGAGGGGCCCGUUUUGAGAGUUGCAUGCUCGAGCGGUACAGCUAUGGUACUGUCUCGGUCAUUGCCGGAGCCAGAUGCCCCGCCGUGCUGCAUGUCGCCUGUCGGUGUCAAAACCGGCGGAUCUCGGGUAGGGGCUUUCGAACUGUGCGUCUAAGGCGGAUGGUAACAGGAGGAAGGGGACACGAUGUUUUACCAGGUUCAGGCCCUCUUGAUGAAGGUAAAACCCUAUGCCCUGCUUGAUUAUUCUUGAUAAUAUAAGUAGUACAAGAGUAGAUCUAUCACGAGAUCAGAGAGGCCAAACCCUACAAGCUAGCCUAUGGUAUGAUUGUAUGUUGUCCUACAGACUAAAUCCCUCCGGUUUAUAUAGACACCGGAGGGGGCUAGGGUUACACAGAGUCGGUUACAAGGAAGGAGAUCUGCAUAUCCGUAUUACCAAGCUUGCCUUCCACGCCAAGGAGAGUCCCAUCCGGACACAGGACGAAGUUUUUAAUCUUGUAUCUUCAUAGUCCAACAGUCCGGCCAAAGGAUAUAAUCCGGCUAUCCGGAUACUCCCUAAUCCAUGGGUCAGGACUCCCUCAGUAGCCCCUAAACCAGGCUUCAAUGACGAUAAGUCCGGCGCGCAGAUUGUCUUCGGCAUUGCAAGGCGGGUUCCUCCUUCGAAUACUUCAUAGAAGAUUUUGAACACAAGGAUCGUGUCCGGCUCUGCAAAACAAGUUCCACAUACCACUGUAGAGAGAAUAAUAUUUCCACAAAUCUGAUCUGCUGACGUACCCCGUAGCGUGGCAUCACACCACAGUCAGGUAUUUAUUCGAAUCAUUUUUCAUAACCUAUCUCAGCGUGUUUCGUGAGGCAGUUUCCUUGGCACGUCUUGUCGAAGCAGAGAUCGUGUCCCCUUAUUACGGGAUUCCCAUCAAUAUGGACGUGGGUAACCCAACCGCGCCAUCAAUUACGGUGCUUGGGGAUAAGCGAGUUUUACCAGGCUGGUGGGGGCGCAUAGUUUCGUCCGCCCUUAUAAAGGGAUAAGGUUUCACUUUGUUCUACCCAAGCCUUCUUCCUCCUUGCUCAUCCAUUUUCGCGCACUCGAGCUCCAGCGCCCAAGUCCACAUCCUUCUCCUCAACUCUCUCCAAACAUGUCCGGAGCGGGAGGCAAGUGGAUGGCCUCCUCCGUCACGGAGGGUCACAUCAAAAACUACGUGGAGCCGGAUACUUAGCUGCGGAUAUCGCGCACCAGCUGCCAGCCGCGGGGCAGAUCGUCCCUACCCCGGAACCUCAUGAAAGGGUGGUUUUCCUCCCCCACUUCAUCCACGGACUGGGGUUUCCCCUCCAUCCAUUCUUCUGCAGCCUCAUGUUCUAUUAUGGGCUGGACUUUCAUGAGCUGGCCCCGAAUUUCAUCCUCAACAUCUCGGUGUUCGUCGUCCUGUGCAAGGCUUUCCUCCGCAUCCGGCCCCACUUCGACCUAUGGCUGAAGACCUUCAAUAUCAAGCCAAAGGUAGUAGGCGGCCAACAAGCGGAAUGCGGCGGGGCCGCUCGAGGGCUCCUUCGUGGAGACCAUAAAGGGGUGGCAAUCGGGGUGGUUCUACAUCACCGAGCCGUGCUACACCAACUGGGUGGCGGCCCCUGAGUUUCGAUCCGGAAUCCCCACGCGGCUCACUUCCUGGAAGGAGAAGGACCUGUCUUGGGGCUCAUCGGUGGAGCUGGACGGACUCCAGAAGUGUAUCCGGAACAUGACAAGCAAGAAACUUAAGCUUGUCAACAUAGUCCAGGUCAUGCUCUUCCGCCGGAUCCUCUCGUGUCAACAACGGGCUUUCAACUUAUGGGAGUUCGACCCGGCCCAGCACCAGACUCUACGCGAGCUCUUCAACAUGAUGCAUAAGAACGUCUAGAAGGUGCUGUUCAAGGGCGUCGAGGUCCCCCCUUCUCUUACCGAGGGCUGCGAGCUAAGCGCGAAGCGCCCUGCAAAUCCGGUAAGUUCUGUACAUCUGGUAGGGUAUUUAUUUCCCAUAGCUUUAACCAUGUGUGGGGUCUGAGCUCCCAUGCCUUUGACAGGAUUGGGUGGAGACAUCGGAGCAGAUUAAAUGUCUGGCCCCUCUGCCCGAAGACCCUGCAGACGCUCUCCUGACGGAGAUGCGGACUCCGGCUCCUUAUGAGGUGCCGGAGAAGACCAAGAAGAAGGCCACAGGAACCCGAAAGAGUUCCCGGCGCCAGGUGGUAUCGGACACAUCGUCCGAUAACUCCGAGACACACUCCUCCUAUGAAAACGAGGAGAAGGAAGAUGUAGAUUCUCCCCCUCCAGCCGGGGGAGACAAGAAAAGAAAGGCCGCCCCAACCGGGGAGGCCGAAGGGUCCAAGAAGGGAAGGACUCUCCUUCCGGACUGCUCCACCACCGCCGUCGAUGGCGAAGACGAGUGGCUACUCCGGGCCAAGCCCCUAGAGAAGUCGUAAGUAUUCGGAUACCAGAGUAACUCAUAGCAUACUUUUGUUGCACUGCUUCUCCUAACGUCGAAUAUGAUUAUGCGGUUUGCCCCAAGCCCGUAUCGACGUAUGCUCGUCGGACGGUUCCUUGGACUCUUCGGAUAUGGAUAGUGAUACACUUCCAACCGCCUCCUCUCCUUGCCCUACGGGCAAUGUCGAGGUAUUGUCUCAAGGGGCACCGAGCCGGGGGGAGGUAGUUCCAGAGGCGCCUCAAGAUGAACUUCCGGACUCCAGGCGUGAAGGGAGCAAGACUCCCCAGGGCUCCAAGUUCGGCCCCCAGCCGAACGCCAUGCCAGAACCUCCAGUGGUUCCGGACACUGGCAGGCGGCCCCCUUCCAAGAGGGGCAAGCCGCCCGUGCCGAUGACCUCUGUCCAUCGAAAGGCACCGGACAACCUGCUGGGAGCGCUUCGCGGCGCUUCCAUCGACGAAGAGCACCGCACUAUUAUGAGUGCGGUGAUCAAGAAGGUUCAGUCCGCCAAGAGCGGACUGACUGAAGCCUGUGCCAUCCUUCUAACAGGCUUUGAGGUAAGUAUUUUAAAUAUAGGAAAAUAUUACCGCAUAAAAGUAGCCCCUGAUGCUCUGUUUGGUGUUCACAAAGAAAAGCCGAAUAGAGGAUCAAAUAAUAUCUGCAGGAGUCUAAUAUAAGUAUGUCUGUAUGCGUAUGUCAAAUUUUACGUAGUGAAUCAAUAGGAAUGUAACUAUUUGAAUUUGAAACAUAAUUUAAUUAUGAAAUGAUCGUAAGAUUACCUCGAGUGAAGAAUAACUUAUUCUACACCCUGGGUGAUGAAUAGUAACAGUAUAUAUAUAUAAAUACUAUUCUGAUCACGGGAUCAGAAUAAUAUUCUGAUCACAACAUGAACUUACCGAGUACCGCGCCUGACCUUCCCCGAGUACAAGGUUGAACUUCAGCUAAAAGGUGUCCAAAUGGGGCUUGCGAUAUACCAUUGGAAAGCUAUAUACAUCAGUAUCAUGACCCAAUUUAAAUUUUUGGCAAAAUGUUAGCGGUUUAAGAGCAGCUUUGAAAAUCGUUUUUUCUUCAUACAAAAAACGUGAAUCGUAUUUUCAACCGCAUUUUAAACCAUUUAUCGGAAUGAGGCAAAUAAUAUGGCGUGGGAAAGCUGCUGAAAAACCGCUCCUACCACAUGUUGAAAGUUUUCUCUAAUUCCCUAUUGUUAAAGAGUAAUUCGGAAAAUCAUAGAAUUUCGCAAAUGAAACACCCGAGUUUGUAUUUUCGAUGCUAUUUCUAAAUAGCUAAUCCAAUCGAGGCAAAUAAUAUGGCGUUAGAAAGCUUAUGAAAAUGCGCUACUUUUUCAUGUUAAAAGUUUUUUCUAAUUUUGAACGGUUUAAAAGUAAUUUAGAAAACGGUACAAGUUCCACCAAGUUCGUAUUUUCGAGCUAAAUUUUCAACAGUACGUCCAAAUGCAGCAAAUGAUAUGGCGUUGGAAAGCUUGAAGAAAUGCGAAACUUUUUUGUAUAUAUUGUUUUUCCUAAUUCAUUACGGUUUUAUGUCAGUUUUGAAAAUGGCUAAAAACAUAUUUUUGCCGUAAUUUCUACAAACUUUAUCGGAAUGGGGCUAAUAAUAUACCGCUGAAAAGCUACGGAAAUUCGAAACUUUUUCAUGUUGAUGGUUUUCUAUGAUUCCUUGCCGUUUUCAAGUAAUUUCAAAAAUGACGAGAUCAUUCGUUCUGCCUUUAUCGCGAAACAGAUUCUUCGAAAAUGCACCGCGUGAAGAACCUGAACUUCUCGGCAUGUCUACUUGAACUUCACUCUGUUUUUCACGUGCUUUUUUGCCCGUAGCUCUCCAUCCACUGCUCGUAGCUCUCCAUCCACUCACCGGAAUUGAGCAAGUGAUAUACCGAUGGAAAGCUGCUGUAAACACGCAACUUUCCCGUGUUGAUCGUUUUUCAUACUCGCGACAAUUUUAAAAGUUUUUCAUCUCAAUUUCAUUCACUAUAGUAGUCAAACUUCUUGUUGUUUUCAUGUUGAACUUCCGUGAAAUAUUUUCGAUUGUAAUUUUCUCAUCCAUUUCGUCAGUGUGUACACAAAUGAUAUUCUUUUUGUACAAACCUAUCACACAAUAUUUUUUUAACUUUCUCCGACUGAGGACUUGAACUUACCCAAAUGAUAUUCCUAUCAUUUUGUAGUAAAUUAGAGAAAUGACGAGAUCAUGAUUUCUGCCUUCAUUGCGAAAGGAAACGCACUGCGUGAAGUAGUUGAACUUCUCGGGCAUGUCUGUUUGAAACUCACUCUGUUUUUGACGUGCUACUUUUUGCACCGCGUGAAGUAGUUGAACUUCUGGGGCAUGUCUAUUUGAACAUCACUCUGUUUCACUUUAUUAUUAUUUUAUAUUAUAUGAAAUACACACCAUGUAGUACGUGAACUUCUGGUUAUUAUCACUUUGCACUUCUCUCUAGUUUGAGAGAAUUGUUUUAAAACACAAAAAACAACAUAUUUUUUAUGUAUUUUGGACAUCUAAAUACACGGUGAACCUCUCUCACAAGAAUUUGUUGAACUUUUCCUCACUGAGCACUUGAACUUCUAGCAACCAUUUUUUCAUUUAUGAGUUGUUUUUAAAAGUGCAAAAAAUGGUGUUGUGUUUUCAUUUUUUGAACAGGUAAAUCCUAGGUUUAAUAAACUCUGAACUUCUCUGUUAUUUCAAUAUGAACUUCGCCUUUUUAUAUUUUGAGUAAAGAAUUGUAUUUGAUUUUUAUACGGAAAAAAUCAAACAUGGAAAUAUAAGGUGAACCUCUCUCGCAAGAAUUUUUGAACUUCUCUAGACAUAGUACUUGAACUUCUUUCAACAAAACUUUUAAGUUUUUAUUUUUCUAUACUUUUAUUUCUCACCUAAAUGCAUUCCUUUAGUACUUGAACUUCUCAUUGUCUUCACUAUGAACUUCUGUCACAUUUUAGUGUGUACGUCGAAUUACAUACAAUUGAAGGUCGGACGUCAUUUUUUGCCAUCUUCAAACAUGUAAUUGGAUGUCGGACUUGCCGCAAUUAAAUUCUAAACCAUGCACGGAGGAGUACGGGAACUUCUUGCAACAUACCUUUUAAGAUUUUUGUUUUCUAUUCCGUGUAAUAGUUGAACUUCUCACUGUUUUCACCUUGAACUUGUGUCACUUAUUUUUGUUCAAGCUCUCAUAAGAAUUUUUGCACUUUUUUCAUACGGAAUGCCCACCGUGUAGUACGUAAACUUCUGGCGGUUAUCAACCUGAACUUCUCUCGGUUACGUGAAAAUAUCUGAGUUUUUUUAAAAUAUUGAAGCGCUCCACCUAUUUUAACUUGAACUUCUUGGUUUUAUUAUUUGAAGCGGGAAAAUCCGUUAUUUUCAUAUAGAUUAAACUACUUCGUUAUUUUUAAUUUGAACUUCUUGGUUUUAUUUUUGAACACGAAAAAAUGGCAAUAUUUAUUAAGAUCGAACUAAUUUGUUAGUUUAAUUGAACUUCUUGGAUUCUUUUCAGAAACAGAAAAAUCUGAAUUUUUAUUACGUUUCUAAAGAUCCAUUUUUUUCACGAUCGAACUACUCUUUUAUUUAAAUUCAAACUUCUCAAUUUCUCAACUAUGACUUCUCUUGAUUCUUGUACAUGUACCUCUCCGAAUUUUCCAUUGAGUCUUGUACUUUUUUACCUUAAAUUUUUUGUUCAACUACUCAUUUUUUAUCCAUAAUGAUUGGACUAUCGACACCAUACACUUCAUCAUCGAGUCAUAUAUAGUCAUGAAUCUUUUCUGUUCCGCACUACAAAUCACACGAAGUAAUCAUGAAUGUUUGAAAAAUCAAAAUUAUUAUAUAUCACGCUCAACCAGUAAAAGACAACUUAAAAUCAUACUUGCUUUGACUUUUUAUAAUAUACCUUGGCCUUUUUCUCGAUGUGAUGACGUACUCGCCCAAAACUAAAGAUAGAGUUUUUAAUAAAGAUUCAUGAACAUAGAGUGUUUUUCAUUUUGUUUUUUAAGAUACACACUUCAUUUAAAUUAGUUAUUUUGUUUAUUUUUCAAACUCAGAAUUAUGCUUCUCAUUCCAACUUCACCGAAGAUAUAUUUUUUACUUCCGAUGUUACAUGUCUUCAUAGGUUCUAUUUUGAAGAUUUUAGUGCUUUUGACCUCCCUUGCUUUUUCACAAUGAACUUCAUCUUUAUUUAUUUAUAUUCUAUAGUGUUCUAAUUUUUCCAAAUCUCCAUAUUUCAUGUCUCCAAACUAUUGUUUUUUAUUAAAUGUCCUUUGAACUAUGUUUUUCAUAAAUGCGUGAAAUUUGUAAUGUCAUUUUGUGACUAGUUGGGUUUGGUAGUAACCCUCGUAAAAUCAACAUCCAUCAGCCAAAGAACUUUAACUAAACUAUUCAAAAGGAAACUUUAACUAGUACACUGUUCUCGUAAAAUCAACACACAUCAGUCAAAACACUUUGAUACAAGUAGCACUAGAAGUACCACAUACGUUCCUUUCAAACAAAUACAAUAUUCUUUUUAUACACAAAGUUGUACUUGCUUUUACACCACACAUUUCGGUCCUUAUCUCUCCAUCUUACCUCCUGGAACAGACCACAGCCACACGUUUAUUUUUUGUUCUCUCUCUGCUCAGUGUAACUUGUCUUUGCUCAUGGAUACGAAACUAGUUAACUGAAUGUAGCAACCCGAGCUAGAGAAGAUCAUGUUAAUAGCUGGUUUAGGCGGCCGACGAACAUGGUCAGACCAACUCUUCGACCUUGUAAACCCUGUACUUCACGGGGUGGUGGCCAGCAUCCCCGCUGGAGAAAGAUGAAUAUGUCGAUCUGCUACUUCUUCAGAGUUUGUCCUGCAUAGUUCUUCAGAGUCUGACCUGCUACAUCAUCACACAGGAUGGAGCGGACAUGCUCGUCUUGGUGGGUAACCUCCACGCUGAGGAGGUAGGUGUCCUCGAACGCAUCUGCUGCGGUGGGAUGGUCUCGGUGUAGAUGAACCGACGACAACCGCGAUGGAGAAAAGAACGACGAGGAGAGAUGGCUAUCCGCAUGGACUGCUCACGAGCGAGAUGGCGGACUGCCCACACAAAAUGGAGGGGCUGACGGCUUGUGGAUGGUGCAGGUCGCAGCGGCGGGGCAGAUAGCACACCGGCCGCAACUGCUUGGGGAAGUUGCAGCCAAGUUGUGGGGGAGGAAAGGGAAGCGGUGCAUGGAGCUAUGCAUAGCGCAUCACAGGGAUGUGGUGGCAACAUAGGGCGGCACACUGGGUGGCGGUGGGUUUCAGGAGGCCGGCGGCGCACGAGGUGGUGGCGAGUUUCGGGAGGCCGACGACGCGCGGUGUGGCCGCGGGGUCCUGAAGCUCAUCGGCGCACAGGGUGGCGGCGGGAUCCCGAACGAGGUGCCCGAGCGGCGGUUGGGGAUGGAGGCAACCGCUGCGGCGGUUGCGGGAGGAGGCGGCCGGGAGGCGCGAUGUGCCGGGGGCGGUGGUUCGCCAGCGGUCCGCGUGUGGGGGCGCGUGGGGUGGAGCUGCGUCCGUGGGAGAUGUGGGGAACGGGAGGUGGAAGACAAUUUUGUGGGCCGGUUCUUUUGUUUGUCGGGAGUUUGGAAACACCCAGUCGGGCCUAUAUAGGGCCAGCCAUGAUCCAAAUAGUUAUUUUGAUCCUGGGAUUAGAAUAGUGUCACUAUACAUAUAUAUAUAUAUAUACAAAAUGAUAGGAUCAUCAUGGAUGUGCCAGGGGCCACGACCGAAGUGGCGACACUGAAGCGAGCACUGUCCGAGGCCGAAAACAAAGCGGCCAAGGAGCGCACCGAGCGGGAAAAACAAGAGGCGCGGGUGGGCGAGGUGCAGCAAGAGCUCCAGGCUCUCGUGAAGAAGCACGAGGCUUUGGAGCUUGACUCGAAGACGUGAGAGUCCGAGCUUACCGCGGCCCUCGAGAGCAGAAAGCAUGCAAGGCUGAAGCCCAAAAGGCCCUUCAGGAGAUUGAGGCAAUGAGGAAGAUAGCGGCGGGUAAGGCAUUCAAUAUGCAAAGCAAACAUGUGAAAGUAAAUUACUUAUUACUUACCCGAGUCCGGAGCUCUCCAGGAGCAUUCGCAGAUUUGCCCCGCAGCGUGUCGGAUGCCGCGAAAUAUUACCAGGCCGAGGACGGAAGCUCAACAGAGAAAUUUUUCUGGUCUCAGUAUACUGGGACCGAACACCCAAUGCCUAUGAGCGACCAGCUGAAGCAACUGGUCGAGCUGCACAAGGCGGCUGAACAGGCCAUGAGGGGCCUUAUAGUCCGGAUGUGGCCUGGCGACUCCCUUCCCAACAGCUACUUCGGCCUGGUGAGGCGGCUUGUGGAUGCCUGCCCAUGGCUGGAAGUCAUAAAGCGGUCCGUCUAUAUCGAAGGUGCACACCGGGCUUUUGCCCGUGCGAAGGUGCACUAGGCCAAGAUGGACGCCGAGAAGCUGGUGAAGGAGGGGCCGCCGCAGGGCAAGGAGCAUCGCCACCCCGAAAUGUAUUAUGAGGGUGUCCUGGAAGGUGCCCGUCUUGUGGCGGACGAGUGUGCGAAGGUUGUAAUUUUUGAAUGAACUUGCUCGUGUGAUCCUGUACUAUGAAAACUUGUUCAUAUGCGCUAUGCAAUGCUUGUUUAAAUUUAAAAUAUUACCUUCUGUGCGGCUGUUUAUCAAAUCUGAGAGAUGGCCAGUCGUCGGCUUCUACCCCUAUGCCAUGAGUGCUGGGGUGUUCGGGAUAAACCUGAGCACUCUUUUUCCCAUUGUUGGGUCCUUCGAGGGAGGUGCUCAGCACAACGAACAAGGCAAUCAGACUAUAAUGCUUUAUCACUCUCACUUAGCCAUAGAAGUCUACAAUUUUAAAUUUUGGUGAAGCCCCUAGUAUUCGGAAGGCCGAAUUCGGGGCGCUAUACACGCCUUAAGCCGGACAAAGCCGACUCCUCGCUCUAAGCGGCAUAAGUCUUUAGGGACUCGAGACCUCUCGAACAGCAACCAGCUCUCGCCUUAUCAUGGCAGUCAGUUUUAGUUUUCUCUACUGAGGUGCUUGCCCAGAUGAACCGGGGCACAAUCGCAGUAGUUCUCCCAGUGCUACCUUAGCCGAUAUAGCGGAAUGUAAGGUACCAAAACAUGGGAGCCGGGCAAACCCAACUAUUGACCCAAGACAUGAUUCGGAGCUGAUGCAUAUAAUGCUAUAAGUUCGGGGUGCCGCACUGUCAAAAGUUUUCGGACUUCUCACGCCGUAUUAUGGGGUACGCUUAAGCCCUUGGCGUAUUGGCCGUAUCAGAGUGUAUGGGUGUUGAAUGUCAUGAAUGAAUAUAUAUAUAUAUAAGAAGAAUAGAGAAUGCGAUAAUAGUCUAGUGCUAUGCAUUGUUUAUUCAAAAAGGUGCAUCGAAGCAGAAUGAUACAAGUAGUGCGAUAAGCAAAAAGUAGGACUAUUUGACAUGUCCCCUCCAAGGGCAAGCUGAGGAAUGGUAUUUAAAGCAAGUAUUUCACUCGUUAUCAUAGACCACCUGGGAAUUCCAUGAUGCGACGUAGCUUUCUGCCUCCUUGGUUGUUGUAUCGUGUGUCCGUCAAUCAUACUGCCGGACGGGGUUUCCAGAGAGUAAAGUCCUGAAAGAGAGAAAAAAAAUAAUAAGGCGGAAAGCCCCUAGUGCGGUUGAGCCACGUUUUGGGACGUGUCAUAGUCGUGCCCCCCCCAUCUAUGCCCAUGGUAUUUUCAAUGCGUAAUUAUGUAUGCGUGGCUCGGAUUUCGCCGUUUGGCUAGGACUGGGGUGGGGGUCGCAUUGCUAUGCGAGCUCGGAAUGUGCCAGGCGGUCUUGUUGCCGAUUACUCCGGGCGCGCUUGAAGGUGUCCGGGUCUUUAAUCGCCGAACUGGUGGAUUGCCUUAAGAGGCUGCUUUGGGCUUCUACUUCGAGGGCCGCAGUGUGCUCCUCCGUGCGGAGAGAGCGCUCUGUGUUUCUAUUGACUAUGAUGACCCCCCGAGGUCCUGGCAUCUUGAGCUUGAGAUAUGCAUAGUAAGGUACCACAUUGAAUCUCGCAAAUGUGGUUCGCCCGAGCAGUGCAUGAUAGCCACUGCGGAACGGGACUAUAUCGAAGAUUAACUCCUCGCUUCGGAAGUUAUCCGGGGAUCCGAAGACCACUUCUAGUAUGACUGAGCCUGUGCAAUGGGUCUCUAGACCUGGUAUGACGCCUUUGAAGGUCGUUUUUGUGGGUUUGAUCCUUGAGGGGUCUAUACCCAUUUUGCGCACUGUGUCCUGAUAAAGCAAGUUCAGGCUGCUGCCACCGUCCAUAAGGACUCGAGUGAGGUGAAAUCCAUCGAUGAUUGGGUCUAGGACCAGUGCGGCGAAUCCGCCAUGACGGAUACUAGUGGGAUGGUCCCUGCAAUCGAAGGUGAUCGGACAGGAGGACCAUGGGUUGAACUUUGGGGCGACUGGCUCCAACACAUAUACAUCUAUUAACGCACACUUCCGCUCCCUCUUUGGGAUGUGGGUUGCGUAUAUCAUGUUCACCGUCCGCACUUGUGGGGGGAACCUCUUCUGUCCUCCGGUGUUCGGCUGCCGGGGCUCUUCCUCGUCAUCACUAUGUAGCUCCUUAUCUUUGUUUUCGGCAUUUAACUUGUUGGCCUGCUUGAACACCCAACAAUCCCUGUUAGUGUGGUUGGCUGGCUUGUCGGGGGUGCCGUGUAUUUGACACGAGCGAUCGAGUAUACGGUCCAAACUGGACGGGCCCGGAGUGCUUCUUUUGAAUGGAUUUUUUCCACUGACUGGGUUUAGAGCCUUUGAAUCCGGCAUUGACUGCCGUAUCCUCGGUAUUGUCGCUGUUGAUGCGGCACUUGUGUUUGUUGCGACGUGACCUGCUAUUGCUAUCCUUGGUAUCCGAAGUACCAUGGUUCUUUGAUAUGUUGUUGUUGUGAGCCAGCCAGCUGUCAUCUCCGCCGCAAAAGCGGGUCAUGAGUGUCGUGAGGGCUGCCAUAGAUUUCGGCUUUUCCUGGCCAAGGUGCCGGGCGAGCCACUCGUCGCGGAUGUUGUGCUUAAAAGCUACUAGGGCCUCUGCAUCCGGACACUCGACGAUUUGAUUUUUCUUUGUCAGGAACCGUGUCCAGAAUUGCCUGGCCGAUUCCUCUGGCUACUAAAUUAUGUGGCUCAAGUCAUCGGCAUCUGGUGGUCGCACAUAAGUGCCCUGGAUGUUGUCGAGGAAUGCGGCUUCCAAAUCUUCCCAACAGCCAAUGGAUUCUACUGGCAGGCUGUUGAGCCAAUGCCGAGCUGGUCCUUUGAGUUCGAGUGGGAGGUAUUUGAUGGCGUGUAGAUCGUCACCGCGGGCCAUGUGGAUGUGCAGGAGGAAGUCCUCGAUCCAUACCGCAGGAUCUGUUGUGCCAUCGUAUGAUUCAAUAUUUACGGGUUUUAAACCCUCUGGGAUUUGGUGAUCCAUUACUUCGUCUGUGAAGCAUAGGGGGUGCGCAGCGCCUCUGUACUGGGCUAUAUCGUGACGCAGCUCAAAUGAGUCUUGUCCACUGUGUUCGGCUCGGUCGGAUUUACUUUUACUAUAUCCGGCGUGACGGUUAUCGUCUCACAUAGUGGCGCGCCCUCGUGAUCCGUAGAUCGAUCUUGCGUGUUUUGCUUUGUCAUCCAAUAUGUCUCGCAGGUCUGGUGUAUUUCCCUGUGCUUUGACAUUUUUAUUUGAGUGGCGUCGGGGUGCGGGCUGAGCUUUUGGCUGAAAUGCCUCUCUGUCGCGGCCAUGAGGUGGCCGAUCAGCCGCGUCAUACGCUAGAGAUAUAGGUUUUGGUGCUUCCUCCUCCAAGUCGGGGUAGCAACCUGCGCUUUGGGUAACUCUUGGAGGGGCUUUCGAGUUUAUAUUCCUCGACCGCAAGGACAUCAGUCCAUCUGUCAGCUAGCAAAUCUUGAUUAGCUUGAAGCUGUUGUUGCUUUUUUAAGGCUAUUUGACGUGGCUAUAAGCCGGCGCUUGAAGCGCUCUUGUUCGAUGGGAUCCUCGGGCAUGACAAAUUCGUCAUCGUCAAGGCUUGCCUCGUCUUCGGAGGGAGGCAUGUAAUUACCAUCCCCCGCCUCUCCAUAUGCUGCUCUCUCGGGAGGGUUGGCUUCUCCAUUCUCCUGCUCUAAAUCUUGCUGGAGGGGAUUGUUGUCAUCUUCGGCACUGUCUGGAGUGCUAUUAUCUCCUGUGCAGGUAUCACCGCUUUUGCCUUGGCGAGACUUAGAGCGGCACCGCUGACGUCGGCGCUUGGGUUGCUUCUUGGAGGGGUCAUCCUCCGCUGUCCCAUCGCCAUUGCCUUCUUUGGGUGUGUCCACCAUACAUAUCAUAUGAUGAGGUGGAUGUCCGGUGCCAUGUGGGCAGUGGUUCUUGUUCGCCUCCUGCAUCGUCGUCCAUACCGCCGAUGUCUUCGGAGUCGAAGUCGAGCAUGUCGGUCAAAUCGUCGACAAUGGCUACUAAGAGUAUCUCCAGCCGCGCGCCAACAGGCCCUCUCCAGGCAAUUUUGCCGCGCCGACGUCGACAAAACGGCCCAGUCGCGCCCCCAGAAGCCCGUUUUUCGCCGUCUCAGGGCGAAACUGGUGCCGGCGGACCCAGGCUGAACCCUGCUUCCUCGGGGGCCUGGGGCGUUGGCACAAGCGAAAAGGGCGCGUGGGUCCGCCCUGUCGGUGAGGCGAGCGCCCCUUCCCGCCGUUUCUUCUCGCGUUUUCCCCACUUCCCUCCCGUACUCUUCCUUCCUCCCGCCAAUCUCCCUCCCGCUCGCCUCCCUCCCAGCCGGCCGCCAUGCCACCGAAGAAGUACACCGCCCCCCACGCGGCGGCAACCGCGACCGCCUUUGUCGCCCAGCCGAAGCAGAGAAAGCCAAGGGCGCCGCCGAUCAAGACACCGGGCAUGUCAAACGCCGAGUGGAGGGCGGAAGUUCAGCGGCGGGAGGCUGUCACCGCCGACCGGUGGAACAGGGCCAUCACCAAGAAGGCCUGCGACAACGCGGCGCGUGCGGCUGCGGCUGCCUCGGCGGACCAAAUCGAGGCCAAGGUGACUCGCGCGGGAUCAUGAAUCCACCUGGAAGCCACGCCCAGUACACGCCCUGGGGCCAGCAAGGCGUCGGCUCUCCGCAACCAUGGGGAUCGCCCUCGCCGGGCUACACCGACGGGGACGCGCACAGUGAGUUCAACCCAAACGUCACCUUCCCCCAUGGAUACCCGGCCCAGCGCACGCCCUCUCCCGCCUUCGCCAGCAGGUAGUACCCUCCAUACAACUACUCGCCGCCCGCCUACGCUUCCUCCCCAACGCCCCCGCUACACUGUGGCCUACUUCCCUUCUCGCACCUCGGCGACACCGACGAGACCGAGGCCGACAUGGACGACAUCAUCACGACAGGUUCGGCCGCGGCCGCCGCAUCUCCCGGGUUUGUCACCCAGGACAAGGUGGUGGAUCUCAGCGGCAGCAUGUACGGUGAGCUCGGCUACGUCUACGGCAAGGACGAGUAGGAGGAGCAGAAGGAGGAGGACGUCGAGGAGGAGGAGGAGGAGCCGACGCCUGCGACGGCGAAGGGGCGCAAGAAGAAGCGGGCGGCCAGGACAGGCGAGCCGCGCAUCAAGUGGGCGUCCAAGGAGGAAUGCCUCGCCGAAGCAUGGAAACUCGUCUGCCUCGACCCGACCAUUGGCACAAACCAGAGCAUCGACACGUACUGGGACCGCAUCAAGGCCGAAUUCGACGAGCGCAAGCUCGUCGACCCCUACUUCAAAGGCGUCUACAUGCAACGCGGCUCCAAGGCGAUGGCGAACCAUUAGGGGCGUAUCCAGGGGCGUGCACCAAAUGGCAUGGGGUCGUCGAGGAGGUCGCGGCUCGCCCGGAGAGCGGCGCUAGCGUCGAGGAUCAGGUAUGCCACGCCGGCCUCCCGCCUCUCUUCGCCGUGUACGCGAGCCAACUGUUUGUCCCUCCGCGCAGUUGCUGCGCAUGUUCACCCUGUACCGGCAGAGCAACAGCGACGCCAAAUUCAAGUACCUCCACGUCUACAAGCGCAUUGACAAGUGCGAGAAGUGGGCAGACGUCCGGCACACCCUCGACAAGGCCAAGGAGACCUACAAGCCGGACACGCCGACUCCUGGCGCAUCGGAAGGGCGGCCGGACGGCAACAAAGUUGCCAAGAAGGGGAAAUACGCCAACACGGCCACCGCUCGAGUGCAGGAGUCAAUCAAGCACUACCUCGCCGACGCGCAGGCCCAGGCCGUCCUUCGUGAAGAGAAGACCGAGGCGCGAUGGUCGACGUUGAUGUCCAGCAGCGCCGUCAAGCUCGACCUGCUCCGGACGAACGUCGCCGCGAAGAAGAGAAACACUGACCUGGCUUUCCUGCUGGGUGGGGCGGACAUGCUCCAGAGCACCGACGAGGCGGUAAAGGUGUGGUACUUGGCGAAGCGCGGCCUCAUCCUGAACCAGCUUCCCUCGACAAGGCCGCCGACGCCGACGCACACGCCACCGCCGCCGCCAAGCCCACGUGAUGACGCCUCCAUGACGCCCAGCACCACCGAAGCCGCGCCGACACCGCCCAGCGCAGAGGCUGCUCCGACACUGCCAAGCCCGCACAUGCCAAUUCCGCCGAUGCCUGGGGCAUAGCCCGCCGAGGGAUGCGCACGCGAACUUCUACCGCUCUAUUUUUUGUACGCCGAACUGUGGCUUGCGAUCGCCCGACUUGUGGCGUCUUUUGUGAGAGGGAACAACCAAGUUCGAAUUUUUUGCGUCCUGGGGGCAGCGCCUGGGGGCGUGACUGGAGUUAGGUCGCCCCCAGGGGCCGAACUAGCAUUGGUUCGCCCUCGGACCGCCCUUUUUUAGCGCCCUGGGGGCCGAACGGCUGGAGAUGCUCUAAGUGGGUGGUGGGUGGGUGGCGAAUUUCUUCAUCAUCCGCAUCCCAAUCCUGCCGGACAUAGUUCGGCUAGGACUCUCCUGACAAGGAGAGAGACCUUAAUGAGUUCAGUAUGUCGUCGAAGGGCGAGUGCUGUAAAAUAUCCGCGGAGGUAAACUCCAUGAUCGGCGCCCAGUCGGAUUCGGUAGGCACGGGCGCAGGCAGUUUGGAGUCCGUGGCCGGGGAAGAAUCCGGCAGUUUGGCGUCACGGCUCUCGUGAAGGGUAAGGUCGAUACUCGGCUUGAUCGUCGCUGAGGAUACGGCCUCCGUGGCGGGGUCUAUCCACCCGUCCAUGGAUGGCGCAAUUGGCUCCGAAUUGAGGGUCCGAGCGGUUGCCGGUGCGAUCUCCUGAACACUGUCCGAUGGUAGAGCUAAAUCAUGCUCAUUGUGACCGUGUGGCGCACUCGGCAAGGGCUCAAAUCCGUCGAAGAUCAAGUCUCCACGGAUAUCGGCCGUGUAGUUUAAGCUUCCAAACCUGACCUGGUGGCCAGGGGCGUAACUCUCCAUCUGCUCCAGAUGCCCAAGCGAGUUGGCCCGCAGUGCGAAGCCGCCGAAUACAAAGAUCUGUCCGGGGAGAAAAGUCUCACCCUGGACUGCAUCGCUAUCGACGAUUGAAGGAGCCAUCAAGCCUAAUUAUGACAACACAGAGGAACUCUCAAUGAAAGCACCAAUGUCGGUGUCAAAACCGGCGGAUCUCGGGUAGGGGGUCCCGAACUGUGCGUCUAAGGCGGAUGGUAACAGGAGGCAGGGGACACGAUGUUUUACCCAGGUUCGGGCCCUCUUGAUGGAGGUAAAACCCUACUUCCUGCUUGAUUAUUCUUGAUAAUAUGAGUAGUACCAGAGGAGAUCUACCACGAGAUCAGAGAGGCUAAACCCUAGAAGCUAGCCUAUGGUGUGAUUGUAUGUUGUCCUAUGGACUAAAACCCUCCGGUUUAUAUAGAAACAGGAGGGGGCUAGGGUUACACAGAGUCGGUUACAAGGAAGGAGAUCUGCAUAUCCGUAUUGCCAAGCUUGCCUUCCACGCCAAGGAGAGUCCCAUUCGGACACGGGACAAAGUCUUCAAUCUUGUAUCUUCAUAGUCCAAUAGUCCGGCCAAAGGAUAUAAUCCGGCUGUCCGGAUACCCCCCUAAUCCAGGACUCCCUCACCGCCAUUCUGGAUGAAGGUGUGUUCUUCUUGCCGGCCUUUCUCGCAAAAAUCCUUUGCCACUGGUUUGGGGGCAACCCGGCUGGUUUCCGGGUACAGCCGUUGGCCGUUGUCCAUUUAGAAUUUGAAGUGGCCCAUGUAGGCGUUGCAUGGGAGAUCAUACGUAAAAAUGUCUGGACUUGGGGGCCGAUGCACGUGGCCAUCUCCUUGAGUAACGGUAAACGUGCCAGGCUGGAUGUGAGGCGCAGACCUAGGAUGUGCACUAUGCACCCCCCCCCUUUCCCCUUCGCUACUUGGACCUUACCCUGGCACAGUGCAACGCUCCUCCAAUCUCUCGUUCAGUGUGAAAGAUCCUCUUAGCCCGGUUUUCCCGCGGCCUGUGGAAGAAGAGUCUCCGCGGCUGCAUGCACCAUGCAAUAGUAAUCAUGCUCAUGUCUUAAAUCCUAUUCACUUGCAGGCUGCCAUGCAUGCCGACCAACCCGAUGGCCCGACCUACAGGCACACUGAUGAGAUCCUCUCGGCUAUCCGGGACGCCCCUGCAAGCUGUCGCGAAAACCAACAUAAUGACAUGUCUGUCUUGCGCCAUAAUUCCUACUUGCAUGCCCUACUGUCACGUCCGGCGCCUGGGAAUCAAGCAAGCUCAGCGCAGCGCGUCACCUCCAAUGCAAUAAAGCAAUCUGCAAAGCCUAAGGAUUUGCAUCUUAGAUGCUAUAGGUGCCUAUCUUACAGCCACCGGCGUAAGGAUUGCAAAGACCCCAUUGUCUGUUGGUCCUACCGACAGGUGGGCCACAUUCUAUCCCAAUGCAUCUCCCGGCGCGGCUCAUCGUCUUUGUGCGCUACCCCCACGCCUCCUUAUAACACGACGGUGUCCCCCCCGCUCUCCCAAGCCUUCCAGCCCCCACCGCCUCCUCCUGCUCUCUAGCACUUCUACCUCCUAAGCCUGGGCCUCUCGCCUCCAUGGAGCCGGUGGUCCGAGGCCAUUCCACCUCUCUCGAUGUUCACUACCGACUGCUUCUAGACCAGAAUGCCCAAGUAUGCCUCGUAAACAUCUCUCCGCCCAUGUCUGGUUUCCUUCCUUGGUUCAAGCGCCUCUUAUCGGAACGGCGCGGCAUCACUAUUGUCCAGUUUGCUAGAUGUGCUACAGGCACUGUGUUCACCGUCUUCCAUCGGGAGGCGAAUCAAGUGGCCACCAUGAGAGCCAGCCCAUUGGAAACUGACACCCGUCGAGAUGGUAAGCCCGACACCAGAACGCCUCUGCUUGAUGACAAGAGCCUUAGCACUGCUUAUUUCUACAAGUUUCUCACCUUUCGAGGAAAAAACUAUACGCCAGCCUGCUUCAUUUGGGACAGAAUCAUACCCAACAAACACCGCAUCUUCCUGUGGAUUGCGCUCCAGGACAGACACGGCACCAGAGAUAAUAUGUUAAGCAAGCAUUGGGAUAAAAUUGUUUCACAUAAUGGUUGUGAUCUAUGCCCAGCUGCGGAGACAAUGAGCCACAUUUUACUACGAUGCAAACUAGCACAAGCACUAUGGUCCAACUUAGGCCUGCAGGAGCUACCCACAUCUUCUACAGAACCUGAAGUUUUCCUAUUCUCCGAACAACCAAGGGCACUGCACGGCAAGCUAUGGCAUAUUCUCUUCGCGGCAUCUGCGGUCACACUUUGGAAUGCCAGGAACGCACAAGUGUUUGAUGGAUCUUUUUGGCAAGAGCGCCAGGUAUACAAUGGAGUCACUGAGCUGAUCAAACUAUGGAGCCUGCGUGCCCCACAACAUACUAGGCGGAGCCUUUGGGAUUGGGCAACUGCUUUUGCUCCUAGUUAGCAAGAUGUGUUCUCUCUCGUUCUUCUAUCCUACACUAUGUAUCUUAGCAUAGGCCUGGUGAUGGCAUGCUGUACAAAUUGUGUGGCGUCAACAUCACCUUCAUGUAAAUGACUGUGGUCAUCCGGGUUUUCGCCCAUUUUGAAUGCAUAAGGUAGAAAAUGCUCUAUCUUUUUAUUCAAAAAAAUAUCGGCAUCCCUGUGAGUCAAAAUCAUUGGCACUAUAUGUCAGUCUCCUUGUUAUCGGUUUUCUUGUCUUUUCUCGUUCUCGUGUUCCCGCAUCCCCGUGAUCAAUUCACGCUGUGUCUGGCCAGAUGUUGAUGGAUUCUGUCACACUGAGAGGGCCUGAAGAAUAUCUUUUCAUCGCAUGAGGAGAAAAUCCUAGUCUCGAGCUAUCUAGUCCCUUGCCAUAUGUUUCCUAUGAACAUGUAAAUUGUUGUUAUGAUCACCCUAUUAUGGUUGAUGUUGGACCAACCCCAAAGUGCAUCAUCCAGUAUGAAGUGACUCAAUGUUCUCAUGGUCUAAAAAAUUGUGCACAUGUUAACUUUCUAUGUUAUGGACUAUAAACCUGUGACGAAAUUAUCUGGAAGUAUAACAUACAACUUGGGUCAAUUCAGCACAAGUGUUCCUCCAACAUUGUGCCCUCGAUAUUGUUGAUAUCAUCGUUACACUUAACUAUAACCAUGAUCAGGAAAACAAAAUCAUCAUGCAAUACUUGAGCUAGUCCUAACGGCAAGACUAGGAACCUUAUUUUUACCGUUUAUAAUCCUACACGUGCAUGUGAUUUUUUUCUCUGAACCUCUUAGUUUUCACAAAUUCGAGAACCAUAGCAAUUUUAUCAUAGAAUAUAAACAUCAAUUAUAAAUUUAGAAAUAAAUAAUAACAUAAUUAUUAUUGCCUCUAGGGCAUAUUUCCAACAAUUGCUUCCAAGAAAUUCAACAACCGCCUUGAUCCCCACAUCCCCGAUAGAAACCAUUUGACGGGUGGUAAGACCAUCGGCGAUGGUGGUUUCUCCGUGAAUAAUCAAUCUGAAUAAGGGUUGUUCCUUCAGAGAUUCAGUGGGAUAAUUCGAGUGCACAAAGCAUGUACACAUUUAUCACACACACAAAAUUUGGAGUCAUAAUUUAGGUACCUCCCUAUAUGGGCGGGCAUGUAACUUUAGUGCAACUACGCCCAUUAGGAUUCAACAAGUUCAAUCUGCUGGAUAUAUAGGAAGAUAGGGGAGGGGUGUUUUGGCUCCCUGGAGCAUAUGCUCCCAGAUGAACAGUAAAUUAAAAAAAACUAUUUUUUGUAGAUGUGUUUGUUAGUCCCUUCCAGUACUCCAAGGUGUGCUGGUGCUAAGGCUACCACAUAGGCAAAAAAAUGAUGUGACAAAGCACUUGUCGGUGUCAAAACCGGCGGAUCUCGGGUAGUGGGUCCCAAACUGUGCGUCUAGGCCGGAUGGUAACAGGAGGCAGGGAACACGAUGUUUUACCCAGGUUCGGGCCCUCUUGAUGGAGGUAAAACCCUACGUCCUGCUUGAAGAAUAUUGAUGAUAUGGGUAGUACAAGAGUAGAUCUACCACGAGAUCAAGGAGGCUAAACCCUAGAAGCUAGCCUAUGGUAUGAUUGUUGUAUAUGGAGUUGAUUGCCUACGGACUACAACCCCCCGGUUUAUAUAGACACCGGAUAGGGUUAGGGUUACAUAGAGUCGGUUACAAUGGUAGGAGAUCUUGAAUAUCCGCAUCGCCAAGCUUGCCUUCCAUGCCAAGGAAAGUCCCAUCCGGACACGGGACGAAGUCUUCAAUCUUGUAUCUUCAUAGUCCUGGAGUCCGGCUGAAGGUAUAGUCCGGCUACCCGAACACCCCCUAAUCUAGGACUCCCUCAGUAGCCCCCGAACCAGGCUUCAAUGACGAUGAGUCCGGGGCGCAGAAUGUUCGGCAUUGCAAGGCGGGUUCUUCUCCAAAUCUUGUGUACCUGUAGGAAUAAUGUCCAAUUUUUGUAAUGUAGUGCUCCUCGGCUUCCACGCCCAAUAAUGGCCGUCUUCCAUGUGUCAAACGAAUGCGAAAAGCCGGGGCGUUUUUACAUCCACACCCCUAGCCGUAUAAAUGAGCCGCCUAUUUAACGGGAUGGGGAUUUAGGUCCAAACCACAUCUUCUCCUUUCCGUGAGUUAUCAUCGGAGCGCUUCCAGCAAAGGUCCAUUCCAACAUGACCAGCCGUCGCAGCUCCUCCCCUCGCCCCUCCGGUCCCAAACCCGGGGACUGGGAGAGUUGCACCAUCCCGUAUAGCGAGUUAGUGUCGCUUCUGGCCAAGGGAUUUCUCCCUCAGGCAUACAUGGUCCCGGUCCGAGCCGGUCUCGCCACCUACAAUGGCGGAAAACAAGCGGAGGGCACCCCCAAUCCUUCUAAAGAAGAGCGGGUGUGCCUCGUCCCCUAUCUAAUAAGGGGACUGGGAUUUCCAAUUCAUCCAUUUCUUCGCAGGCUUCUGGAGUUCUACGGCCUCCAGCUGCACAAUCUCAUGUGUCAGGACCCCGACUCAACGCCACAUCGAUCUAGCAUGUAACACCUCAUAUCACUUUGCGGCCUCACGCACGGUAUUCCCACGGGUGUCGCCUUACCUUUUGCCCAGGACCGUUUGCGCCUUUUGGCACACGUAUAUGAUAGUGUCGCUAGCAUCCAUAUGAUAAGGAGCCCGGGCUGACAUGGCUAGUCGUAAACCCAAAGUGGCACAGACUUACAGGGACAGGCAUCCAUGACCCAGCAUCGAACGUGUCGGUCAUCAGCGAGUGAAUCCAGGCUGUAGCACUGGGCUAGCAGGACUCCAGUGAACUGGGCUGUAGCGGGCUAACAGGACUCCGGUAUUCAUCGCGUGACAUUUCCCCGAGGGGACAGACACAGGAACGAAGAAGGACACAUGCCGGCCAGCCUAAGUGUUCCGGAGCAGUAGCAAGCUACCAUGGAAACACUAGGAGACAUUUACCGGUAAGAGAGGCUACUAAGGAUAAACAACUAGAUAGUCAGAUCCCACACAUACCAAGCAUUUCAAUAACAUACACACAAUAUGCUCGAUAUGUGCAAAUACAACAUGGCAUCACAACAUGACUCUACGACUCAAGUAUUUUAUUCAAUAGGCUCCGAGGAGCGAAAUAUUACAAACAUGGGUCUCAUGACCCAACAUUCAGAGCAUACAAGGCAAAGCACAAGCGGAAGCUAUCAUGUCUGAGUACAGACAUCUAUAAAUGAAAAAGGCUGAGAAGCCUGACUAUCUACCAGAUCCUGCCGAGGGCACAAGAUCGUAGCUGAGGUAACAAGCUAAACGUCGAAGUCCACGUGGAACUACUAGCGAGACCGAAGUCUCUCUGCAAAAACAUAAAAUAGGCAAACGUGAGUACAAAUGUACCCAGCAAGACUUACAUCAGAACUAACUACAUAUGCAUCAUUAUCAACAAAGGGAUGGUGGGGUUUAACUGCAGCAAGCCAGCUUUGACUCGGUGGCUAUCCUAAACUACGACUGCAAGUAACUCUUUUGAGGUGGCGCACACGAGUCCACAUAUUCACCAUAUCAAUACACCACUAUGGAUCCGCUCCCGUCUCCCUACGAGAACGCCAUCCAUAGCACUCACGCUUAUCUUGCGUAUUUUAGAGUAUCCACUUUCACUUGUCUAUGAACUGAUAUAAGCAACCCAGAAGUCCUUUUCCGCGGACACGGCUAUUCGAAUAGAUGAUGUUAACCCUGCAGGGGUGUACUUCUUCAUACAUGUUUCCACCACUUAGCGUCUGCACACGACAUGUGCUCGGCAGACUUCAAGCGAAAGCCGACGUGGGUGUAGACCACGACCUACCUAAACACCUAAGUCUCUAGUCCAGGCUUAUCGCCUAUCCAGGUUCCAUCCGCAGGGAGUCUGGCCGAGGUUUCCCAUACGGCCCCGAACGAUGUGUACAAGGUUCCCGAGAUACCUAACGGGUAUUCGGUACACCGUGCCACGUACCUACCGCAUCACAGCCCACCCCUACGGUCAGCUCUGUCCACGGCCUCCAGUAGGCUACAAACACCAGAAACUACUUGCAACUCCUGGACAAAGGACUAGGGUGAAUAAGAAGUCGAGCGGGGUCAUAUUUCAGGGCCCAAUGCAUGGUAGUAGCUGAAUCAUGGAUCACAAACACAGAAAUCAGUUCCUAAGGACGGCUUCAAUGAGACAACCCACCAUGUACUCCUACAUGGCCUCUCACCGAUACCUUUUACCAAAUCAUUUUCACACACUUAGCUUACACAUAGUAGGACAUGUUCACACACCUCUGAUUCAUUCCCGAUGAAUCAGACCUGACUCAACUCUAAGCAGUAGCAGGCAUGACAAACAAACAUGAACGAGUAGGCACAACAGGGCUCAAGCAACUCCUACUCAUACUAGUGGGUUUCAUCUAUUUACUGUGGCAAUGACAGGUCAUGCAGAGGAUAAAGGGGUUCAGCUACUGCAGCAAGUAACAAAUGACUCGUUGUUGUCCUAAUGCAGUAAAAGAGAGCAGGGCGAGAGAGUAGGAUUGUAUCGGAAUGAACAAGGGGGUUUUGCUUGCCUGGCACUUCUGAAGAUAGCAUUGAGUCUUCAUCAGUGUCAACGAUCACAUCAUCGGUACAACGUCUAUCGAGGGGGAACAACACCGGCAAACACAGAAGAAACACGAUCAAUGCAAUGCACAAUAUGAUGCAUGCUAUGACAUGGCAAUAUGAAUGUGUUUUGGGCUAAUGCACCUAGCUAUGAUUUAAAUGAAGUUGGUUUGAAUACAUGAUUCAAAUUCCAACUACAUAUAUGGUUAUUUAAAUGCCCUUUAUUUGUUUUGUCCAAAACAGAGGACAAACAUUGUUCAAACAUGCAUGAAAAUGGUACAGAUGGAUUCCUUGAAUUUUUUUGAUGAUUUUUCAUAUAUAACUUGUUUGAUUUGGAGCUACGGUUGAUUUUCUAUGAUUUUUAGAAGUUUGCAACAAUUUCUGGAAUUUCUCUAAAUAAAAAUAAAUCCAGAAAUUAGUUAUUGCAUCAGCAUUGCGUCACUAUGACGUCAGCAGGUCAACAGACGCUGCUGCUGGUCAAACCUGACCAGUGGGGUCCACUGGUCAGUGACUGGGGCUGGUUAGUGCCGCUGACGUGUGGGCCCGGUCAACGGCCACGUCAGCUUGGUCAAAGCUGACGCGUGGGGCCGCUCUGGUUUAGUUAAUCCUAAACAGAUAUUAAACUGGGGUUAAUUAGGGCGUGGGGCCUAGGUGUCAGUGACACGGUGCGGUGUUUAGUGGCUAAUUAAGCCAGCCACGUCAGCAAGUGACGCCGGCGACCACGGCGACGGCGAGACCUCGCCGGAGUUGCUCGGGACGGUGCUACAGCCCGCGGCUGGUCGCGCUGAGGGCACCAAGAGGGAGCCCGUGCUCCCGCGCAUCUAGGGGCGCACGCAGCUGGGCAUAGGGAGGCCGGGGUUCGCUGGAAACGAGCUCCUGGCGGCGGCCGGAGUUCGGGCGUCGGGCGUUUCGACGUGGAAGUGCACUAGGAGAGGCGCUGGUGUGUUCGGCGUGCUCCUGGUGAGGUGAGGAGAACGAUGACGCGUGCAGAAGCGGCUGGUUCGGCCUCUGGCCACGGCGGCGCCAUGGCCGGCGGCGAGCAGCUGUCGGCCCCGACAGCCACGGUGGUUAGAAGGCGUGGACGGGCACGGGGAGAGAGGGGAAAUGGACAGGGGCUCACGGUGAGUUCGAAGAGCACGUCGGCGUGCUCGGGGAGACGGCGGAGAGGAUGAAUCGGACGGCGGCAUCCGACGGCCGUGGUCGGGGAAGAAGCGCCGCGGCAUCGUCUUGGGGCAUCCGGGCUUCAGUGGGUCGACGUAGAGGGGCUUGGGGUCCGGGCUGAGCUCGGGUACGCAGAGAGGGAGCGAGGAAGUGGUUGUGGCCGCGGUGGUUGCGAGCGACGUUGGCGGCGGCUCUUGGUGGGGAGAACAGAGGAAGGGAGAGAUCCAGAGAGAGUGAGAGAGCGUCGGGGGGGUUGCGUGGCGUCGCGGGAGGCGACCAGGGCGACGAGGGGGUAGCCAGGCAGGCAGGGAGGAGCUGGCGCGGCUCGCCUGCGCGCCGGGCACGCAGCUGCUUCGGGGCGAGGGGAGGAAGACGACGGAGGGGCUGCAGUGGUGGGCUGGGCCGGCCAGCUGCAGUGCUGGGCCGGUUGGGCUACCAGGUGAGCGCCAGGUAAGAUUCUCUCUCUCUUUCUUUCUCUUUUCUAUUUUCUGCAAUUGGUUUUGAUUUGAUUUAAAAUAUCAAAUCAUUUUUCUAAAACUUCCUGUAAAUUGGAUGUGAGCUCGGGAACUAGUCCAAGGUCACAGGCAACUUACAAAAAUAUUUGAACUUUAUUUCUUAUAUAAUAGAAAUAAAUUCAACUCAAAUAUGUCAUUGGUUUAAGUCAAAGGCCCAAAAAUAAAUAAUUCUGUGAUUCCAAAAAUAUUGGUUUUAAUUUUACCUCUUACCAAUAUUUUCACAGAGUAACAGGAACAUUUCUUUGGACUCAUUUGAAGAGAUUUAAAUGGUGGUUAUUUUUAGAGGUCUUCUGAGGCUUUUGAAAAUCCCUCAAUUCAAAUUUCAUUUGAAUUAAAACAUGAUGCUCACAUGAGGUCUAGCCUAGUGCAUAACAGGACCAGGGAUGUGACAUCAUGCCCGCCUCCGUAUUGCAUAUUGCGGGUUUCGUCGCCCUUUGCGAGCUAUUUUUAGGCGUUGAGGCUCAUUUCGCGCUGUGGAAGAGGUUAUUCUGCCUGGUGCCCCAUUCUCAAGAGGGGUCCAUAUACCAGGUGGGCGGAGCCGAAGUAUGGCGCAUCGCCGGGACCGGAUACCUAUCCGGAACCCCAAAGAAGGCGUCCGAGGACUGGCCUUCGGAAUGGUUUUACAUAGAUGAUGUCCCGCUACCGGACCCUAUCCGGGUCGGUCUCCCUGAGUUCAACAGUGCUCCAUUGAAGAAACGCUUGAACUGGCAUCCGUGGAGCUCUCAGAGAGAAAGCGACAGAGACGUCCUUUACCUGACGGGCCGGAUAAGACUGUUGGCUCAUUCCGGACUAACCAUGAUCGGAGUCAUGGCCGCAUGCAUUAUGCGGGGGGUGCAGCCGCUUCAAUAUAGAGGCCACCCCAUGUGGGAUUUCAACGGGGAGGAUGACACCACACGUUACGGUCGUAAGGGGCCGGCCUCAGCCGCCGCCUUAGUAAAGAUCUUAUCCUCUUUGUACAAGGGAGAAAAGGAGGAGUUCCUCCGCGUCAACCUGCGGGCUGGAUUCAGUAUGUACGAUCCUCCAAGUUGGGUAAGUGAACAAUUGCGCUUGCCCGUUUGUUUUGUACUCCAUGGUUAGAUAGGUAGUCUAACGACAUCAAUGCAGGAACUACGACAGGAGGUAAAGGAUAUAAACAGCCGCCCUCCACAGCCCGAGGACCCAGAAUGGUCCCUCAAUCCAGACUCCGAAGAGGACCCGGACAUAUCGGUGGAGCUUAUCGACGGGGUGUUCCAUCAGCUAAGCAAGGACAAUACCUUGGUAGCCAUUACGGCGGACUACCCAGGGUUAAUCCCGGCUUCCCAGGUGACAGAAACUGGGGUCUUAUUCCCUUGAAAGAGAUUCCACCCGCACGUAGCCCGGUGUUUCUGACAACAGCCGUGUUUUGCAGGGGAGAUUUCCGAGGCAGGAGGCCGAACCUGUGGCGGCUAGCCAACGAGGGGCCGCAGGGCCUCGUGGGGAAAAAGGAAUGUAGUCUGGACUGAAUUGCCGGCGCAAAGGUAUAGUGCACCCUUUGUUUCCCUGGAGUUAUUCUGUCAGGGCAUAUUUGUAGGGUUUCGUAGUAAUUUCAAAAAAUUUCCUACGCACACGCAAGAUCAUGUGAUGCAUAGCAAUGAGAGGGGAGAGUGAUGUCUACGUACCCACGCAGACCGACUGCGGAAGCAUUGACACAACAUAGAGGAAGUAGUCGUACGUCUUCACGAUCCAACCGAUCAAGCACCGAAACUACGGCACCUCCGAGUUCGAGCACAUGUUCAGCUCGAUGACGAUCCCCGGACUCCGAUCCAGCAAAGUGUCGGGGAAGAGUUCCGUCAGCACGACGGCGUGGUGACGAUCUUGAUGCACUACAGCAGCAGGGCUUCGCCUAAACUCUGCUACAGUAAUAUCGAGGACUAUGGUGGCUGGGGGCACCGCACACGGCUAAGGAAUAGAUCACGUGGAUCAAAUUGUGUGUUUCUGGGGUGCCUCUGCCUCAGUAUAUAAAGGACUAGAGGGGGAGGCUAGCCGGCCAAGGUGUGGCGCGGCAGGAGAGUCCUACUCCCUUUGGGAGUAGGAUUCCCCCCCCCCCAAUCCUAGUUGGAAUAGGACUCCUUGAGGGGGGAAAGAGAGAGAGAGGGGGCCAGCCACCUCUCCUAGUCCUAAUAGGACUAGGGGAAGGGGGGAGGCGCACAGCCACCUUGGGCUGCCCCUUUCUCCUUUCCACUAAAGCCCACUAAGGCCCAUAUAGCUCCCGGGGGGUUCCGGUAACCUCCCGGUACUCCGGUAAAAUCCCGAUUUCACCCGGAACACUUCCAAUAUCCAAACAUAGGCUUCCAAUAUAUCAAUCUUUAUGUCUCAACUAUUUAGAGACUCCUCGUCAUGUCUGUGAUCACAUCCGGGACUCCGAACAACCUUCGGUAUAUCAAAAUGCAUAAACUCAUAAUAUAACUGUCAUCAUAACCUUAAGCGUGCGGACCCUACGGGUUCAAGAACAAUGUACACAUGACCGAGACAUGUCUCCGGUCAAUAACCAAUAGCGGGACCUAGAUGCCCAUGUUGGCUCCUACAUAUUCUACGAAGAUCUUUAUCGGUCAGACCGCAUAACAACAUACGUUGUUCCCUUUGUCAUCGGUAUGUUACUUGCCCGAGAUUCGAUCGUCGGUAUCCAAUACCUAGUUCAAUCUCAUUACCGGCAAGUCUCUUUACUCGUUCUGUAAAUACAUCAUCCGCAACUAACUCAUUAGUUGCAAUGCUUGCAAGGCUUAUGUGAUGUGCAUUACCGAGAGGGCCCAGAGAUACCUCUCCGACAAUCGGAGUGAAAAAACCUAAUCUCGAAAUACGCCAACCCAACAUGUACCUUUGGAGACACCUGUAGUACUCCUUUAUAAUCACCCAGUUACGUUGUGACGUUUGGUAGUACCCAAAGUGUUCCUCUGGUAAACGGGAGUUGCAUAAUCUCAUAGUUAUAGGAACAUGUAUAAGUCAUGAAGAAAGCAAUAGCAACAUACUAAACGAUCGGGUGCUAAGCUAAUGGAAUGGGUCAUGUCAAUCAGAUCAUUCAAGUAAUGAUGUGACCUCGUUAAUCAAAUAACAACACUUUGUUCAUGGUUAGGAAACAUAACCAUCUUUGAUUAGCGAGCUAGUCAAGUAGAGGCGUACUAGUGACACUCUGGUUGUCUAUGUAUUCACGCAUGUAUUAUGUUUCCGGUUAAUACAAUUCUAGCAUGAAUAAUAAACAUUCAUCAUGAAAUAAGGAAAUAAAUAAUAACUUUAUUAUUGCCUCUAGGGCAUAUUUCCUUCAGUCUCCCACUUGCACUAGAGUCAAUAAUCUAGAUCACAUCACCAUGUGAUUAACAUCGAUAGUUCACAUCAUCAUGUGAUUAACACCCAUAGUUCACAUCGUCAUGUGACCAACACCCAAAGGGUUUACUAGAUUCGGUAAUCUAGUUCACAUCGCUAUGUGAUUAACACCCAAAGAGUACUAAGGUGUGAUCAUGUUUUGCUUGUGAUAGAAUCUUAGUCAACGGGCCUGCCAAAUUCAGAUCCGUAUGUAUUUUGCAAAAUUCUAUGUCUACAAUGCUCUGCACGGAGCUACUCUAGCUAAUUGCUCCCACUUUCAAUAUGUAUCCAGAUUGAGACUUAGAAUCAUCCGGAUCAGUGUCAAAAACUUGAAUCAACGUAACCAUUUACGACGAACCCUUUUGUCAUGUCCAUAAUCGAGAAACAUAUCCUUAUUUUGCUAAGGAUAAUUCUGACCGCUGUCCAGUGAUCUACUCCUAGAUCACUAUUGUACUCCCUUGCCAAAUCAGUGCAGGGUAUACAAUAGAUCUGGUACACAGCAUGACAUACUUUAUAGAACCUAUGGCCAAGGCAUAGGAAAUGACUUUCAUUCUCUUUCUAUCUUCUACCGUGGUCGGGCUUUGAGUCUUUACUCAAUUUCAUACCUUGUAACACAGCCAAGAACUCUUUCUUUGACUGUUCCAUUUUUGAACUACUUCAAAAUAUUGUCAAGGUAUGUACUCAUUGAAAAAACUUAUCAAGCGUCUUGAUCUAUCUCUAUAGAUUUUGAUACUCAAUAUGUGAGCAGCUUCACCGAAGUCUUUUCUUUGAAAAAUUCCUUUCAAACACUCCUUUAUGCUUUACAGAAUAAUUCUACAUUAUUUCCGAUCAACAAUAUGUCAAUCACAUAUACUUAUCAGAAAUGUUGUAGUGCUCCCACUCACUUUUCUUGUAAAUACAGGCUUCACCGCAAGUCUGUAUAAAACUACAUGCUUUGAUCAACUCAUCAAAGCGUAUAUUCCAACUCCGAGAUGCUUGCACCAGUCCAUAGAUGGAUCGCUGGAGCUUGCACAUUUUGUUAGCACCUUUCGGAUUUGACAAAACCUUCUAGUUGCAUCGUAUACAACUAUUUUUAGUAAAUCCAUUAAGGAAUGCAGUUUUGUUUAUCCAUUUGCCAGAUUUCAUAAAAUGCGGCUAUUGCUAACAUGAUUCGGACAGACUUAAGCAUAGAUACGAGUGAGAAAAUCUCAUCGUAGUCAACACCUUGAACUUGUCGAAAACCUUUUGCGACAAUUCUAGCUUUGUAGAUAGUAACACUACUAUCAGCGUCUGUCUUCCUCUUGAAGAUCCAUUUAUUUUCUAUGGCUUGCCGAUCAUCGGGCAAAUCCAUCAAAGUCCAUACUUUGUUCUCAUACAUGGAUCAUAUCUCAGAUUUCGUGGCCUCAAACCAUUUUGCGGAAUCUGGGCUCAUCAUCGCUUCCUCAUAGUUCGCAAGUUCGUCAUGGUCUAGUAACAUGACUUCCAGAACAGGAUUACCGUACCACUCUGGUGCGGAUCUCACUCUGGUUUACCUACGAGAUUUGGUAGUAACUUGAUCUGAAGUUUCAUGAUCAUCAUCAUUAGCUUCCUCACUAAUUGGUGUAGGAGUCACAGGAACAAAUUUCUGUGAUGAACUACUUUCCAAUAAAUGAGAAGGUACAAUUACCUUAUCAAGUUUUCUACUUUCCUCCCACUCACUUCUUUCAAGAGAAACUCCUUCUCCGGAAAGUUUCCAAAUUUAGCAAAAAAAUCUUGCCUUCGGAUCUGUGAUAGAAGGUGUACCCAACAGGAACUUUUGGGUAUCCUAUGAAGACACAUUUCUCCGAUUUGGGUUCGAGCUUAUCAGGUUGAAGCUUUUUCACAUAAGCAUCGCAGCCCCAAACUUUCAGAAACGACAACUUUGGUUUCUUGCCAAACCACAGUUCAUAAGGCGUCGUCUCAAUGGAUUUUGAUGGUGCCCUAUUUAACGUGAAUGCAGCUGUCUCUAAUGCAUAACCACAAAACGAUAGUGGUAGAUCGGUAAGAUACAUCAUAGAUUGCACUAUAUACAAUAAAGUACGGUUAUGACGUUCGGACACACCAUUACAUUGUGGUGUUCUAGGUGGCAUGAGUAGUGAAACUAUUUCACAUUGUUUUUAACUGAAGGCCAAACUCGUAACUCAAAUACUCUUCUCUAUGAUCAGAUCGUAGAAACUUUAUUUUCUUGUUACGAUGAUUUUUCACUUCACUCUGAAAUUCUUUGAACUUUUCAAAUGUUUCAGACUUAUGUUUCAUCAAGUAGAUAUACUCAUAUCUGCUCAAAUCAUCUGUGAAGAUCAGAAAAUAAUGAUACUUGUCGCGAGCCUCAAUAUUCAUCGGACCACAUACAUCAGUAUGUAUGAUAUCCAACAAAUCUUGUUGCUCGCUCUAUUGUUCCGAAGAACAGAGUCUUAGUCAUCUUGCCCAUGAGGCAUGGUUCGCAAGCAUCCACUGAUCCAUAAUCAAGUGAUUCCAAAAGCCCAUCAGCAUGGAGUUUCUUCAUGCCUUUUACACCAAUAUGACCUAAACGACAGUGCUACAAAUAAGUUGCACUAUCAUUAUUAACUUUGCAUCUUUUGGUUUCAAUAUUAUGAUUAUGUGUAUCACUACGAUCGAGAUCCAACGAACUAUUUUCAUUGGGUGUGUAACCAUAUAAGGUUUUAUUCAUAUAAACAGAACAACAAUUUAUUCUCUUUGAAUGAAUAACCGUAUUACAAUAAACAUGAUCAAAUCAUAUUCAUGCUCAACGCAAACACCAAAUAACACUUAUUUAGGUUCAACACUAAUCUCGAAAUUAUAGGGAGUGUGCGAUGAUGAUCAUAUCAAUCUUGGAACCACUUCCAACACACAUCGUCACUUCACCCUUAACUAGUCUCUGUUUAUUCUGCAACUCCCGUUUCGAGUUACUAAUCUUAGCAACUGAACUAGUAUCAAAUACUGAGGGUUUGCUAUAAACACUAGUAAAGUACACAUCAAUAACAUGUAUAUCAAAUAUACUUAUGUUCACUUUGCCAUCCUUCUUAUCCGCCAAUCACUUGGGGUAGUUCCGCUUCCAGUGACCAGUCCAUUUGCAGUAGAAGCACUUAGUCUCAGGCUUAGGACCAGACUUGGGCUUCUUCACUUGAGCAGCAACUUGCUUGCCGUUCUUCUUGAAGUUCCCCUUCUUCCCUAUGCCCUUUUCUUGAAACUAGUGAUCUUGUCAACCAUCAACACUUGAUGUUUUUCUUGAUUUCUACCUUCAUUGAUUUCAGCAUCACGAAGAGCUUGGGAGUUGUUUCCGUUAUCCCUUGCAUAUUAUAGUUCAUCACGAAGUUCUACUUACUUGGUGAUGGUGACUAGAGAAUUCUGUCAAUCACUAUCUUAUCUGGAAGAUUAACUCCCACUUGAUUCAAGCGAUUGUAGUACCCAAACAAUCUGGGCACAUGCUCACUAGUUGAGCGAUUCUCCUCCAUCUUUUAGCUAUAGAACUUGUUAGAGACUUCAUAUCUCUCAACUCGGGUAUUUGCUUGAAAUAUUAACUUCAACUCCUGGAACAUCUCAUAUGCUCCAUGAUGUUCAAAACGUCUUUGAAGUCCCGAUUCUAAGCCAUUAAGCAUGGUGCACUAAACUAUCAAGUAGUCAUCAUAUUGAGCUAGCCAAACGUUCAUAAUGUCUGCAUCUGCUCCUGCAAUAGGUCCGUCACCUAGCGGUGCAUCAAGGACAUAAUUCUUCUGUGCAACAAUGAGGAUAAACCUCAGAUCACGGAUCCAAUCCGCAUCAUUGCUAAUAACAUCUUUCAACACAAUUUUCUCUAGGAACAUAUCAAAAUAAACAUAUGAAAGCAACAACGCGAGUUAUUGAUCUACAACAUAGAUAUGCUAAUACUACCAGGACUAAGUUCAUGAUAAAUUUAAGUUCAAUUAAUCAUAUUACUUAAGAACUCCCACUUAGAUAGACAUCCCUCUAAUCUUCUAAGUGAUCACGUGAUCCAAAUCAACUAAACCAUGUCCGAUCAUCACGUGAGAUGGAGUAGUUUCAUUGGUGAACAUCAUUAUGUUGAUCAUAUCUACUAUAUGAUUCACGCUCGACCUUUCGGUCUCCGUGUUCCGAGGCCAUAUAUGUAUAUGCUUGGCUCAUCAAGUAUAACCUGAGUAUUCCGCGUGUGCAACUGUUUUGCACCCGUUGUAUUUGAACGUAGAACCUAUCACACCCGAUCAUCACGUGGUGUCUCAGCACGAAGAACUUUCGCAACGGUGCAUACUCAGGGAGAACACUUCUUGAUAAUUUAGUGAGAGAUCAUCUUAUAAUGCUACCGUCAAUCAAAGCAAGAUAAGAUGCAUAAAAGAUAAACAUCACAUGCAAUCAACAUAAGUGAUAUGAUAUGGCCAUCAUCAUCUUGUGCCUGUGAUCUCCAUCUCCGAAGCACCGUCAUGAUCACCAUCGUCACCGGCGCGACACCUUGAUCUCCAUCGUAGCAUCGUUGUCAUCUCGCCAAUCUCAUGCUUCCACGACUAUCGCUACCGCUUAGUGAUAAAGUAAAGCAUUACAUCGCGAUUGCAUUGCAUACAAUAAAGCGACAACCAUAUGGCUCCUGCCAGUUGCCGAUAACUCGGUUACAAAACAUGAUCAUCUCAUACAAUAAAAUUCAGCAUCAUGUCUUGACCAUAUCACAUCACAACAUGCCCUGCAAAAACAAGUUAGACGUCCUCUACUUUGUUGUUGCAAGUUUUACGUGGCUGCUACGGGCUUAAGCAAGAACCAAUCUCACCUACGCAUCAAAACCACAACGAUAGUUUGUCAAAUAGACUCCGUUUUAGCCUUCACAAGGACCAGGCGUAGCCAUACUUGGUUCAACUAAAGUUGGAGAGACAGUCGCCCGCAAAGCACGUCGGGGGAACCGGUCUCGCGUAAGCGUACGCGUAAUGUUGGUUCGGGUCGUCUCGUCCAACAAUGCCGCUGAACCAAAGUAUGACAUGCUGGUAGGCAGUAUGACUUAUAUCGCCCACAACUCACUUGUGUUCUACUCGUGCAUAUAACAUCAACAUAAAUAACCUAGGCUCGGAUGCCACUGUAGGGUUUCGUAGUAAUUUCAAAAAAAUUCCUACGCACACGCAAGAUCAUGUGAUGCAUAGCAACGAGAGGGGAGAGUGAUGUCUACGUACCCACGCAGACCGACUAUGGAAGCGUUGACACAACGUAGAGGAAGUAGUCGUACGUCUUCACGAUCCAACCGAUCAAGCACCGAAACUACGGCACCUCCGAGUUCGAGCACACAUUCAGCUCGAUGACGAUCCCCGGACUCCGAUCCAGCAAAGUGUCGAGGAAGAGUUCCGUCAGCACGAUGGCGUGGUGACGAUCUUGAUGCACUACAGUAGCAGGGCUUCGCCUAAACUCCGCUACAGUAAUAUCAAGGACUAUGGUGGCUGGGGGCACCGCACACGGCUAAGGAAUAGAUCACGUGGAUCAACUUGUGUGUUUCUGGGGUGCCUCUGCCUCGGUAUAUAAAGGACUAGAGGGGGGAGGCUGGCCGGCCAAGGUGUGGCGCGCCAGGAGAGUCCUACUCCCUCUGGGAGUAGGAUUCCCCCCCCCCCCCAAUCCUAGUUGGAAUAGGACUCCUUGAAGGGGAAAGAGAGAGAGGGGGCCGGCCACCUCUCCUAGUCGUAAUAGGACUAGGGGAAGGGGGGAGGCGCACAGCCACCUUGGGCUGCCCCUUUCUCCUUUCCACUAAAGCCCACUAAGGCCCAUAUAGCUCCCGGGGGGUUCCAGUAACCUCCCGGUACUCCGGUAAAAUCCUGAUUUCACCCGGAACACUUCCGAUAUCCAAACGUAGGCUUCCAAUAUAUCAAUCUUUAUGUCUCGACCAUUUCGAGACUCCUCGUCAUGUCCGUGAUCACAUCCGGGACUCCGAACAACCUUCGGUAUAUCAAAAUGCAUAAACUCAUAAUAUAACUGUCAUCGUAACCUUAAGCGUGCGGACCCUACGGGUUCUAGAACAAUGUAGACAUGACCGAGACACGUCUCCGGUCAAUAACCAAUAGCGGGACCUGGAUGCCCAUAUUGGCUCCUACAUAUUCUACGAAGAUCUUUAUCGGUCAGACCGCAUAACAACAUACGUUGUUCCCUUUGUCAUCGGUAUGUUACUUGCCCGAGAUUCGAUCGUCGGUAUCCAAUACCUAGUUCAAUCUCGUUAACGGCAAGUCUCUUUACUCGUUCUGUAAAUACAUCAUCCCGCAACUAACUCAUUAGUUUCAAUGCUUGCAAGGCUUAUGUGAUGUGCAUUACCGACAGGGCCCAGAGAUACCUCUCCGACAAUCGGAGUGACAAAACCUAAUCUCGAAAUACGCCAACCCAACAUGUACCUUUGGAGACACCUGUAGUACUCCUUUAUAAUCACCCAGUUACGUUGUGACGUUUGGUAGUACCCAAAGUGUUCCUCCGGUAAACGGGAGUUGCAUAAUCUCAUAGUUAUAGGAACAUGUAUAAGUCAUGAAGAAAGCAAUAGCGACAUACUAAACGAUCGGGUGCUAAGCUAAUGGAAUGGGUCAUGUCAACCAGAUUAUUCAAGUAAUGAUGUGACCUGGUUAAUCAAAUAACAACACUUUGUUCAUGGUUAGGAAACAUAACCAUCUUUGAUUAGCGAGCUAGUCAAGUAGAGGCGUACUAGUGACACUCUGGUUGUCUACGUAUUCACACAUGUAUUAUGUUUCCGGUUAAUACAAUUCUAGCAUGAAUAAUAAACAUUCAUCAUGAAAUAAGGAAAUAAAUAAUAACUUUAUUAUUGCCUCUAGGGCAUAUUUCCUUCAAUAUUAACGUUUGUGCUAUCUUCAGAACGAAGAGACCUUGCCGGACUACAUCCGGAGAGGUUGCGAAUCGCGCCUCCACCAGCCAGGUCCAACCUCUGGCCAGGAAGCGGAGGCGAGCACAAGGCGCGCACCGGACGCUCCUCCGACAGAGGAUGCGGACAGGCUGUCUGCCACAAAUUCUGAAGUGGAGAGUGCCAUGAACCACAGGCGUCGCCGGACGAUUCUACGCGACGCUUGUUUCUCCCAAGAGGCUUUAGAUGCCUUUAAUUCGGGAGAGGCGAACCUCCAUGCCGCUCAAAAUGGUUUAGCCAGAGCCAUGGAGCAGUAUGUAAAAGACAUACGGGUAAGAAAUUUUUGGUUAAAUAUAUAUACGCCAGUAGCCCCGAAGACUUGAAGCAGUUAGAGCAACUGAUUUAAGGAUCAUUUAAUAUGCAGCUUCUUACAGAGAAGAAUACCGUACUGUCCCAGGAGCUGGAAAAGUGCAAGGCCCAACUAGAGGCCGCACUAGCCGCAUCAGGGGAGCCCAAAGAGACCCCCUCAGGUAAGAUACACUUCGAAAGAUUAGUAUUGUGCGGUGUGGGUGCAAAUCUGACAAAUCAUAUUGCAGAUGGUGCCGGACUCGAUCCGGAUAAGCAACAACUCUUACGCCGGCUAAAGGCCGGUGAGAGUACGUUGACAAAAGUGAGGCGAGAGAAGAAUGAGCUUCAGGAUGCCAACACCAAGCUGGACGUCGAACUUAAAGAUGUUCGUGGCCAGCUGUCGGACUCCACGAAGGAGAAUCAGCGGCUUCAACGUGGCAUUUUUAGUAAGUGCUUGAACGAACUUUGAAAAAAGUGUUCGGAGAGGAAGUCGACUAACAGAGUAAUGUCUGUAGGUAUGCUCACAGGUCGCCCUGCAGAGGAGAUGCCCGGUUCUACGGGUGACCUUCUUCCCGAACUCUUGCAACUGCACGAGCGAAUUCGGCAGGCGAUGCGGGGUAUUGCCCAAGCCUUAUGGCCUGCCCACUCCGUACCCGAGGGCCUUGGAGAGCUUGUGGAGAAGCUGAAGGGAGCUCGGCAGCGCUUCCGGUUGUGGAAGAUAUCGGCCUGCCGACAAGGCGCUAGGGAGGCCUUGGCCAUGGUGAAGACCCGUUUUACAAAGUCUGACCCAAACCACAUGGCCGAGGUCGGACCAGUGGGGCCUGACGGGAAGGAGAUCCCUGUAAGCUUAGUAUACGGCCAAGUAGAGUUGGCCGUGAAGUAUUCUCAGCAGGACUGUAAAUUAGACAGCCUGUUAGAUGGUAUAGAAGAGGAAUACAAUCAGUCAGAAUGACUGUGUAAUUUUGAAUUUGACAUGUGUAAUGCCUUCUAGCCGGAUUGUAGAUCGUUUGUCGUUGCCGACAUUUUCGCUUCAACCUCGGGACCUGACGGUCCGGAGUGUGUCCGAAUACCCUAGCGGUUAUAUAAGAACCGGGGUAUGCAUGGAGACCAGGCAUAGGGGUCAUCAGUGCUUUAUCAGACAAGUGCCCAACUAGUUAUGUUAUAUUACAUGGUUAGUAAGAAACAUCUUCCAGAGAGAAUAGUUCCGUUAAGGGUUCCUUUCGCUGGGAGGCAUGCCCUAAGGUGCAUGUCCAAACUGCGUGAAGAGACGCAGAAAAAGCAUCGGGGGGCGCAUAAAAUGAGUAAAAAGAUCAUCUUUUAUUUCACCGACCGAAUAUUCCCUUAAGAACGCUAGCUUUCGGCUUCACCCAGUCUGAGGUACACAUCCGGCUGACCCGGCAGUAACAAUCGCAGAGGUGCUCCCUUUACCGCCUAGCCGAACAAUCGGGAACGUAGGGGUAAGCACAGGAGCCAGGCAACCCAGCUUGGCCAAAACUUAAGUCAUAUUGAUGCAUAUAAUGGUGAAGAAAAAGGUACAUGCGGAAGUUUGACGCAUGUGUUGGGCGUGAAGUCCGUAUAAAUAAGCUUCUGUUAAAGAAGCCCCCAGGUUUAAUAAGCGCGAGUGGCGCAUCACUAGAUGAGCCUUUAAGGGCUAUGAAAGAGAAAGAAAAAAUGGGAAGGAGAGAAAUGUAAGACUGAAAAAUACAAAAAGGGAUGGACAGAGGAAGGAGAUGAACACAGAGUCCGGUGCUAGGCAUAGAAUCUUCGAAGACGGGUGGCGUUCCACGGGUUCGGCUCGAGUCGGUUGUUCGACGUAUCUCGCAGGCGGUACGCCCCACCAGUCAGGACUUGGUCGAUUAUGAAUGGAACAUUUCACUUGGGCUUGAGUUUGUCCUUUUUCUUAUCCGGCAGGCGUAGAACUAGUUCGCCAACAUUGUAAUUUUUGGGCCGUACUUCUCUGCUUUGAUAUCUUCGGGCCUGCUGUUGAUAAAAUGUGGAACGGGCUUUUGCCACAUCGCGCUCCUCCUCCAAGGCGUCCAAGUUGUCCUACCGAUCAAGCUCGGCUUCUCUUUCUUCGUACAUGUGCACUCUAGGUGAGUCAUGAAUUAUGUCGCAGGGCAGAAAUGCUUCUGCGCCGUACACCAUAAAAAAUGGUGUGUACCCGGUGGUGCGAUUUGGCGUGGUCCGCAGCCCCCAUAGCACGGAGUCGAGCUCCUCUACCCAGUGCGUGUUAGAUUACUUGAGGGACCGCACCAGUCUGGGUUUAAUGCCGCUCAUGAUAAGACCAUUUGCAUGUUCGACCUGGCCGUUGGUUUGUGGGUGAUAGACGGAAGCAUAAUCGAGCUUGAUGCCCAUGUUUUUGCACCAGAGUUUUACCUCGUCGACGGUAAAGUUUGUACCGUUUUCGGUUAUGAUGCUGUGGGGGACGCCAUAACGGUGUACAACCCCGGAUAUGAAGUCUAUCACAGGUCCGGAUUCGGCCGUUUUAACAGGCUUGGCUUCUAUCCAUUUGGUGAACUUAUCCACCAUGACCAGUAAGUAUUUUUUUCUAUGGGUUCGACCUUUAAGGGGUCCGACCAUGUCAAGCCCCCAGACCGCAAAAGGCCAGGUGAUGGGUAUAGUUUGGAGUGCGGUGGGUGGCAUAUGGCUUUGGUUGGCAAAAAGUUGGCAACCAGCGCAUCGUUGGACUAGGUCCUGAGCGUCUGCUCGGGCCGUCGGCCAGUAAAAUCCUGUACGGAAAGCCUUGCUAACAAGGGACCGAGCAGCAGCGUGGUGACCACCAAGUCUGGCAUGAAUUUCAGCCAGGAGGUUCCGCCCUUCCUCUUCGGAGAUGCACCUUUGAAGGACUCUGGUAGUGCUUUUCUUAUAAAGUUCUCCCUCAUGGACUCUGUAGGCCUUAGAUCGCCGAACUAUGCAGCGGGCCUCGUUUUGGUCCUCCGGGAGUUCCUGCCUAGUAAGGUAGGCUAGGAAUGGUUCUGUCCACGGGGCGAUAACCGCCAUUAUUACGUGGGCUGAAGGUGUAAUUUCGUUGGCAGAGCCUCCAAUUGUGUCAGAUUGUUCGGCGUCGAGUGGUGCGGCUGGGUUCGGGCUGUUAUUUGCGGGUUCCCCCUCCCAUGCUACGGAUGGCUUGAACAAUCUUUCCAAAAAGACGUUGGGGGGACUGCAUCGCGUUUUGCUUCGAUGCGUGCUAGGACGUCUGCCGCUUGAUUGUUUUCUCGGGCUAUAUGGUGAAACUCCAGCACUUCAAACCGAGCUGACAUUUUUAGGACGGCGUCGCGGUAAGCUGCCAUUUUUGGGUCCUUGGCGUCGAAGUCUCCAUUUAUUUGGGAUAUCGCGAGGUUUGAAUCCCCGCGUACCUCUAGGCGCUGGAUACCCAUGGAUACUGCUAUCCGGAGGCCAUGUAGGAGGGCCUCAUAUUUGGCUGCAUUGUUGGAAUCCGUGUACAUGAUCUGGAGCACAUAUUGGACUGUGUCUCCUGUGGGGGACGUCAGGACGACGUCGGCCCCCAGUCCGGCCAACAUUUUGGAGCCGUCGAAAUGCAUAAUCCAGUUUGAAUAUGUGUCGUACUCUUUAGGGAGCUCGGCCUCCGUCCAUUCUGCCACAAAGUCGGCCAAAACUUGCGAUUUAAUAGCUCGCCGUGGCUUAUAGGUUAUAUUGAACGGGAGAAGCUCGAUGGCCCGUUUUGCAAUCCGGCCCGUUGCAUCGCAGUUGUUGAUAAUAUCGUUUAGUGGCACUUCCGAGGAUACUGUUAUGGAACACUCUUGAAAGUAGUGUCGUAGCUUCCGGGAUGCCAUGAAUACCGUGUAUGCAAUCUUUUGAUAAUGCGGGUACCGUGAUUUGCAUGGAGUGAGGACAGUGGACACAUAGUAGACCGGCCUUUGAAGGGGGAAUUUGUGUCCGUCCGUUUCCCGCUCGACAACGAGCACUGCGCUGACAACUUGGUGUGUUGCUGCAAUGUACAAUAACAUUGGUUCGCCUGCGAUUGGCGCGGCCAGGACUGGGUUUGUUGCCAAUAUGGCUUUUAUUUCAUCAAGUCUGGCCGUGGCGGCAUCCGUCCACUCGAAGUGUUCGGUGCGCCGAAGGAGGCGAUAAAGGGGUAGUGCCUUUUCUCCCAAGCGGGAGAUGAAGCGGCUUAAAGCCGCCACGCAUCCGGUUAAUUUUUAUAUUUUUUUAAGGUCCUUUGGGACAUCCAAUUGUGACAAAGCUCGGAUCUUGGCUGGGUUUGCUUCAAUUCCUCUACCGGAUACAAUGAAGCCCAAGAGCUUUCCGGCUGGAACGCCGAAGACGCAUUUUUCUGGGUUGAGCUUGAUGUCAUAUUUUCGGAGGUUAUCGAAUGUAAACCUCAAGUCAUUUACUAGGGAUUCAACAUGUCUUGAUUUGACGACCACAUCAUCCACAUACACCUCCACUGUUUUGCUGAUCUGGUUUGCCAGACAUGUCUAGAUCAUGCGCUGAUAUGUUGCGUCGGCGUUUUUCAGCCCGAAAGGCAUUGUGUUGAAGCAGAAUGGGCUGUAUGGUGUGAUGAAUGUUGUUGCAGCUUGGUCUGAUUCUGCCAUCUUGAUUUGAUGGUAACCGGAGUAUGCGUCGAGGAAACACAACAAAUCGUGUCCUGCGGUGGCAUCGAUAAUUUGAUCGAUACGGGGGAGGGGGAAGGGAUCCUUUGGGCAAGCCUUGUUAAGGUCUUUAAAAUCGACACACAGGCGCCAGGAUUUGUCCUUCUUUGGUACCAUCACCAGGUUUGCUAGCCAGUCCAGAUGUUUUAUGUCUCUGAUGAAUCCGGCCUCUAAUAGCUUGGCUAGCUCCUCUCCCAUAGCCUGUCUCUUGGGUUCGGAAAAAUGCCGAAGGGCUUGUUUGACAGGUUUAAAUCCUUUUAGGAUAUUUAAGAUGUGUUCGGCCAGCCUACGUGGGAUCCCUGGCAUGUCUGAAGGGUGCCAGGCGAAGAUGUCCCAGUUCUCUCGUAGGAACUCUCGCAGUGCGGCAUCUGCAUCAGGGGUCAGUCGUGCCCCGAUGGAAGCUGUUUUAUUGGGGUCCAUUGGAUGGACCUGGAAUUUGACUAUUUUGUCAGCUGGCUUGAAGGACGUGGAUUUGGAUCUCUUAUCGAGUAUCACAUCAUCCCUGUUAACCGUGGAGCGCAGCGCAGUCAGUUCCUCGGCCGCUAAGGCUUCGGAUAGCGCCUCAAGGGCUAAUGCGGCCGUCUUGUUUUCGGCGCGGAGUGCUAUGUCCGGAUCAAUAGCUAGAGUGAUAAUUCCAUUCGGCCCGGGCAUCUUAAGCUUCAUGUACCCGUAAUGGGGUAUUGCUUGGAAGAUUGUGAAUGCUUCCCGCCCUAGUAAAGCGUGAUAUUCGCCGUAAUGGGGUAUUGCUUGGAAUCUGGCCCAGUAAUGAUGUACUGUUUCCUCGGGCCUCUGCCUGAUUUGGGAGAGAUCGCUUAUGAUCGGGUGGGCGGGUGUCGUUGAAUCUGAAACCUCACCCAAUCCAAGAUUCGGAGGCCGAAGAGUUUCCGAACUCUAAAGUUCGGAUUCUUGGAUGUUGUCCAGUGGAUCUGGCCCGUUGCCUGAUCCUAAGCUCAGGUCUUGAGUUACAUCUCCCCCUCCGCGGGUAUCCAUCUUGGAGGGGUCUGGAAUUCGGACGUAGCUAGUCCUUAAAAUAGAUGAAGGGUCGCCGCACUGCGUCUCUACCACGGCGACGUGGUGGGUGACUUGGGGAGAGUUAAUUUCUCUUAGAUCGGGUUUAAGCCCAACCUGGUCGUAAUCCGUAGCGACCCCCAGGGCGGCGAUGCGAUCCAAGAGCUUAUUUACGGAAGAGAGAUCCAUUGGAUCUAGCUGCUCGACGAGCUCCGAGCUGACGUGUAGGUUGCUUUUGAUGACCCGAGAGGUCAACGUCGGCGCAACAGCCAAAUAGGCGGUCAUGAGGAAACCACCUAGCCGGAGGGUUUGGCCGACAGCCAAGGCUCCCUUAGCAACGGCGCCGUCUUUAAAGAUGGGAGGAGGCAUCCUUCCUGAUUGUGACGGCACAGAGGAACUCUCAAUGAAAGCACCAAUGUCGGUGUCAAAACCGGCGGAUCUCGGGUAGUGGGUCCCGAACUGUGCGUCUAGGCCGGAUGGUAACAGGAGGCAGGGGACUCGAUGUUUUACCCAGGUUCGGGCCCUCUUGAUGGAGGUAAAACCCUACGUCCUGCUUGAUUAAUAUUGAUGAUAUGGGUAGUACAAGAGUAGAUCUACCACGAGAUCAAGGAGGCUAAACCCUAGAAGCUAGCCUAUGGUAUGAUUGUUGUAUAUGGAGUUGAUUGCCUACGGACUACAACCCCCCGGUUUAUAUAGACACCGGAUAGGGCUAGGGUUACAUAGAGUCGGUUACAAUGGUAGGAGAUCUUGAAUAUCCGCAUCGCCAAGCUUGCCUUCCACGCCAAGGAAAGUCCCAUCCGGACACGGGACGAAGUCUUCAAUCUUGUAUCUUCAUAGUCCUGGAGUCCGGCUGAAGGUAUAGUCCGGCUACCCGAACACCCCCUAAUCCAGGACUCCCUUAGCACUUAAAGAGGAGAAAGAGCAUUAUGCUGACCCCGAAAGGAAACGAUGAUAAGCGUGUGAAACUGUGCAAAAUGGCUACCAACCCAUGCGUGAAGGAAUUUAGGUUUUAAGCAAUUAAAUGAGAGGAGCUUAGAUACAAAAGUUCAGCACCUAUGUAUUGAGAAGAUUAGUUACUAUGGUUGUUAAUGCACUUAGCAUUUCACCUAAGCACCAAUGCAUUGGAAGAUGUGACAAAUUUCAUGUGAAACGCAGCAGCAAUGUUUCGUCGGUGAAAAGAACAAAUUUGGGGUCACAUUUUUGGAUGACAUUUGGUCUUUUUUUUUGCACAUGCCAAAAUGCUUAACCUUUUUGCCUCAAAAUCUGCAGGUAGCAUUUGUAUGUGACUAAGAUCACAUAAAAAAUUUGUCUUGAUUUUUUUCACAUUCGACAAAUUAUUUUUGGGCCCGGGAGCAUGUGCUCCCGUGAGCCAAAUUGAAUUUCCGGAAAGAUAGUCGAUUCCAAUGAAAUUUGGUGUAAAGAAAAUACACAGAACAUUGUGUCAAGGAUGGUCAAAAUAACAGCUGGUGUACUCAAAUAAUAACUCCUAAUAAAUAAAUAGUUUUAAAAACUCUGAAUAAAACACGCGAGAAUAGUUUACGUACAGACAUGUAGCCCACUGAAAGAGUGGCCUUUUCUUUUCCCGCCAAGACACCAACCAUGCCAUAUGCCAACCACACCUGUCAUCAUUAUUUUCGUUUGGCAUUACAGUAUUUUAUUCCCUGGACCACAUUCUUUGCACACCAGAAUCAAUAAACGUUGACGACGAGGGCCACGAGGGGUGCCAUCCAUGCCAACCCGGCCUGCAUGAUUAAGUCUGAACUGCUGUCCCUCGUGGAUACUCGGCGACCGGCGACCUCACCAGACCCCAUCCGGCACCAACCCCGCGCUCCGGGACACCUAUUUAUAGCUCUCGCCGCGCACGCUCUGGGCAACCAAGCAGCCGCUGCAACAUACUGCAACUACUUUGCACUAGCAACACAACGCUCUGACUGAGCUCAUAGCCUUCGCGCCUGCCCGUCUUAACUAGUUGAUCGCCGCAGCAAUGACCUCCACCAACAGCUGGACCCACGAGAUUGAGUCCUCAGUCGCGGCACCGCGCCUGUUCCGUGCCGGCAUCAUGGACUGGCAUACUCUGGCACCCAAGCUCGCGCCCCACAUCGUCGCCAGCGCCCAUCCCGUCAACGGCGAAGGCGGCAUCGGCAGCGUCAGGCAGUUCAACUUUACCUCAGGUACGUACGCAUCACAAUCCCAUACAACCCAUGCGUGUCACCUCAGUCUAGAAAUCCGGCGUGUAUCUAUACAUGGUCAAGCGAAAGCAUAACACGCAGUUGAUCAUGCAGCCAUGCCCUUUAGCGUCAUGAAGGAGAGGCUAGAGUUCCUGGACGAGGAGAAGUGCGAGUGCAAGUCAACCCUCAUCGAGGGCGGCGGCAUCGGCUCGGCCAUCGAGACCGCAACGUCGCACAUCAAGGUGGAGCCGGCGGCCAACGGCGGGAGCGUCGUGAAAGUGGACUCGACGUACAAGCUGCUGCCAGGCGUGGAGGUGAAUGACGAAAUCACCAAGGCCAAGGAAUCCGUCACCGCCAUCUUCAAGGCCGCCGAGGCCUACCUCAUCGCCAACCCCGACGCCUACAACUGAAUCUGUGUCGAGAUAUCAUACAUGAUUAUGAUGUCCCUAGUUUGAAUUCCGUGUGUUUUCUUCCCGAUGUAAUAAAGCUGCUCCAAUCUCUAAGCUAUAAUAGUGACGCCGAGCGCGAGAGCACCGCCAGAGUGUGGACGUGAGAAGUUAAAAGGUUGAGUAUUUGUAACUACCAAAGGGUUCUGUUGUUUGAUGAUAUUGGUGCUUGCUUAUGUGAAAUACCUAAACACUCUUAUAUACUGCCUCAAUUUUAUAAUUCUUGUCAUAGUUUUAGUUUUCACCUAAAAGCACAACAAGAAUUACGGAACGGAGGGAGUUUUUGGAUUUGGAAGUUUAUGUGUCGACCUCUUACACAAAUCCUAUAUGUAUGUGAAAUACCUAACCAUUCUCCCGAAAAUAGAAAAACUAAACACUCUUAUGUGCAAAAAAGAAAAAUGUUUGCAUGUCAUCAAAGUCUGUUUAUAGGAAUCCAAGAAAGACAUUUAUUUGCUACUCCAUUUGCUUCUAAAUAUAAAUCCUUUUAGAGAUUUUAAUAUGGAUACCAUAAGUAGCAAAAUGAGUGAAUCUAAACUCUAAAAUACGUUUGUAUACUUAUGUAUGUAGUUCAAAUUAAAAUCUCUAAAAUCCUUAUAUUUAGAAGGGGAGGGAGUCGAACAUAAUUUCGUUUUCUCUUUUCAAGUUGUAAGAGACAGUUGACAUGUCAUUGUGUUUUAUUUUGGCACCAUUUUUCGACAAGUGCAUCUAUAAUCUAUUGGGUCCUUGUUGGCAAGUGAAAUCCACGUUCUUCAUGUAUCCCCUUUUCAAAGCGAACUUACAUUUGUGUGUGAUGAAUAAAAUGCAAAUUGUAUCAGGAGUCCUUAAACUACCACAACCUUCUUACUUGCCUUUUAAUUUUUUUAUUUUGAGACUCCGUAAUCUUUUGUCCAUUUCUCCCAUGACUCCUUUUAACCAUCAGACUAAAAAAUUCCGUUUGAGCCAUGGGCACAAGGGUGGGAAUAUCAUACGAGAAACUAAACAGGUUUACAGGGGCCCAAAAUAUCGCCGAAAAUAAGAGAGCCAACUCAGAAGUUCUGAUAGCCCCCACCACCACCCACACACACACUAAAGAACAUCGAUAGAUUAGGAAGUAUCGUGGUACAAGGAAUAUAUAAGUUUGCAACACUAAUGGAAAAUUAGUAUUUGUUUCUCUUCUACUGUCUACUGAAAUAGGAUGUUCUUUUCAUCGCUCCUCCUAGCCUAGAGACCCUCAUCCGAUUUGAUACCUUCCUCCCAACUGCCUAUCAAACUUUGGUCAUUUUGCUUGCUGUUAUGAUGUUGGUUUCCAUUUUGAGGUUCCAAAAUAUAUUGGGAACUACUAAAAUCGCUACUUAUUUGACAAAGCUAGGAUAACGCUAAAGAUAAACACACUCAUUCCUCCUCCCCAAGGAAAGAACCAGGGCGAUCGGUUUCCUCCUCCUCCCGUCAGCGCCAUCGCCGGUUUGCCCCAUCUCUGAUGGCCUUUGGACCGUCACUACAAGAAAAAGGGCUAUAGAUAAAAUUGACACUAAUGGCGCACCAGAGAAGUGGUGCGCCACUACUAUAUACUAAUGGCGCACCAUGUGCCGAUGCGCCAUUAGUGUGGAAGACACUAAUGACGCACCAGACACAAGGUGUGCCACUAGUAACAAAUUUUUUUUCAUUUUUCCAAACAUACUAAUGGCGCAUCCAGGCAAAGUGCGCCAUUACUAGUUCUAACUAGUAAUGGCGCACCAGCCAUAGAGUGCGCCACUACUGUAUUUUUUUAUUCUUGUUUUUUGCAAAACUACUAAUGGCGCACUGUGGCACAGUGCACCAUUACUAGUUUACACUAGUAAUGGCGCACUAUGCCAUGGUGCAUCAUUAGUGUGUGUGUGUAUAUAUAUAUAUAUAUAUAUAUAUAUAUAUAUUGCAAAACUACUAAUGGCGCACGGCCAACAUGUGCGCCAUUAGUAUGUUGGGCUACUAAUGGCGCAUGGCUGGGUGGUGCGCCAUUAGUAACCUGGGACCAGCUAGAUAUUUUGGACAACCACACCUACACACUUACUUUCCCCACUUCAUUCCCUCCACCUCCUUCUCCAAGCUUGUCGGCUGCCUCCUUCUCCUCACCUCAUUUGCACCAUAGAUUCAUCAAAAUUAAGUGGUGAAAUUACCUUUUUUUGAUAGGUAAGUAAGGGGAAAGCUAUCUUCAUGCUGUAGAUCUACUUUUUUUCUCCCUAACUCGCUCCAACAACGUGCACAUGCACUUUUUGUGGCCUAGCUAGAUCUAUGUAUGUUCGUGGUGUUGCAUAUAUAUUUGUGUUUGCAGGUACCGGUAUUUGAAAUGCGAUAGUUGCCAAUAUUUUGCCGGAAUGUUGAUUCAUUUCCGUUUCGGCGAGAAUUUUGGCACUAUGCAUUCUUUUUGGUCCUAUUUUUAGGGAAAGUCAUGCCAAAUUUUUUCUUGGUUCUAAAAUAUCGUUUUGCUCUACCCCGCAGGCGACCAUGGUCCGCACGAUGACCGAAGGCAUCGUGAAUAGGUUUUUGAGCUCCGCGAAGGCCGAGAUGCUUCAAAAGAAUGAGAUGGAGAUAAGAUGUCCGUGUCGAAGAUGCAAGCUGAAGAGCCUUAUUGCGGACCCGGAUUCCGGGCAGGUGCGGGACCACCUGCUCUUGCGUGGUUUCAUGGAUGACUAUCAGUGGCAAGGUGAUGAAAAUGACUAUGAAGUCGUCCAUGGGGGCCGGGCAAGAAAUGAGGAAGGGCAGCAAGACAACCACCGCGGCUCGGGCGGGCGAGAAGACAAAGAAUCUCCAGGACAUGAUCACGACGGUGAUGCUGUACACAGUCAUCAUGUAGAAGAUGCCGGACAUGAUGAUGAGGAAGAUGCCGGAGCAGACGAAGGGCAUGAUCAUGAAGAUGAAGAUGCCGGCGGAGCAGACGACGAUGGACCAUCGAUGGGCUGGGUGCAGGACCCUCAUAUUCAAGAGCUGCUUCUCAAGCAGACGGAUAACGCAAGAGCUGCCGCCCGAGAGAAAGCCAAGCUGGAUCAACUGGAGAUAGACGCGGUUACUCCAUUGUAUGAAGGAUGCAGGACUGAAGAUACCCGCCUGAAAGUAACGCUCAUGCUCUGGAGAUGAAGGUAAAACACAAAAUGACCGACGCAUGCUUCGACGAGAACAUGUCAUUCUGGCAUGAACGUCUUCCCAAGGGGAACAAGUGCCCUACCAGUUUCGAGGAGGCGAAGAAAAUCGUGUGUCCUCUGGAUUUACCGCGCAUGAAAUACCAUGUGUGCAUGAACAAUUGCAUCAUUUAUCGGGAUGAGCACACGGAGUCUACCAUAUGUCCGGUGUGCGGCGUCACUCGAUAUAAGAAGAGGAAGAAAGCUCCUCGAAAAGUGGUGUGGUACUUUCCGAUCACUCCUCGUCUGCAGCGGUAUUUCGCGGACCCUAAGGUAGUAAAACUCCUGCGUUGGCACGCGGAUAGGGAGGAGAAGAAGCGAGAAAAUGACGCAAAUGAUCCGGAGAUAAAUAAAAAAGACAAGAUGCUGAGUCACCCUAAGGAUGGGAGCCAGUGGCUAGCGUUGAACUUCGAACACCCAGAAUUUGGGAAGAAUCCAAGGAACAUCGUGCUGGGCGCGAGCACCGAUGGAGUCAAUCCGUUUGGCAGCCACAGAAGCACACAUAGCACCUGGCCUGUGUUUGUGUGGAUGUACAACCUUCCCCCUGGUUGUGCAUGAAGAGGAAGUACAUUCACAUGAGUAUGCUAAUUGAAGGGCCGAAACAACCAGGGAACGACAUCAAUCUGUAUCUGGGGCUGCUGAAAGAGGAGCUAGACACGCUAUGGAAAAUGCCAGCCAAUAUGUGGGACGCCGCAGAGAAAGAAUAUUUCCCUAUGAGAGCUGCACUGCUCACGACGGUGCACGACUAUCUCGGUUACAGAUAUCUCUCGCGGGGCAGGUGGUCCACGGAUUUUUUGGAUGCGUCAGGUGCAUGGAUGACACAACGUAUCGCCAGCUAGAUAGAGACCCCGGGUCUUCAGAAACCAUCUUCAUGGGACAUCGAAGGUGGCUUUGCGACGAUGACCCGUGGAGGAAACGCAAGGAUCUGUUCGAUGGUGAAACCGAACCCCAAAGACGCAAGGAUCCGGACGAUGACGACGGUACAUUUACCAACGUCGAUAAGUACUUUGCCAAACAUGGGUACGGUGACGAGUUCUGCGGGCCUCCUUCUCAAGAACCCAACCAAGACGACCGCGAUCUAGCUGGUACGGCGGAGAAACCCAGUUGCAACAGGCGUCGUCUGGCGUUCAGUUCUUAGGAGACGCCUCCAGCUGCCGCCUUCACCGAGCCUCAGAUAGCUGAGGUGUGAAAUAUUAUCAGCCCCAACACGCUCAAGAAGGCGGUCUGUGAGCAGAACUCGGUCCCAUUACAGCAGAUCAAGAAGAAGAGCCGGAAACGAAAGACUAAAAAGGGCGCCAAUGCGAGCCAGCCGGCACCGAGUAUGAUCCGUGCUCAGGACGGGCCACCUUCACCUAAGGAUAUCUCGAGGAGAGUGCAUGUGGCGGGUAGGGCGAUGCUACCGACAAAUAUGCUCAAUGCUGCAACCGGUGCUAUGCGGAGCCUGCACGACAGUGUUCUUUCUUUGGAGAAGCGGCGUCUCAGAGAGAAUGAUGUGGCAUACCCGGUUUUCGUGGCCAAGGUGCCAGAGGGCAAGGGCUUUGUGGAUGGCGCCGUUGGGGUACGAUCAUCAUGCGGUUUGAUGACAUCUUUGCUAUGUUUAACCUUCAUCCGCUGCACUACACCUUCGUCCGGUUGUUUUUGCUGAGUAUGGAGAUGCGGAUCAUUACAGACAAGACCCCGGACAUCGUGAUAGUCGACCCCUUCUACAUGCGUGCCAAGCUCUUGAGCAGCGCUGGGGACCGCCAAUUCGCGAGUUCACACCUCGAAGGCAUCAUUCUGGCAAACCCAGAUAAGGAUAACUUCCUUGUGGCUUACUUUCCCGAGUAAGUCAUCCCUUAACCGCCCCGUAACAUAUGAUUUCUUAGAUUUCGAUCGUUCUUUUUUUUUCUAACAUUCCGUGUUAUGUGCAGUGACACACAUUGCACACUCAUCCUCUUAAGCCCGAAAUAUUCCAUGGCCACGUAUUUCGACCCAAACCGUGGCUCCAAGAUAGACUACACAAAUAUCAAGAAAGUUCUUGAUGAUGUUCUCCCCGGCUACGCCAAAUCUGGAGGCACCUUCACCAGGGCAGUUCGUAAGUACGGCAAGCAUGUGUUCGCCCACAAUACUAAGUUUUACUGCGUCAAGCAGCCGCCUGGCGGUCAGAAGGAUGCCUACUACGCCCUCCAUCACAUGUGGGCGAUCGUAAGGGACCAUCAUCACCUUCUGCUACCAGAUAAUCUCAAAGAUUGGGCCGCGAGCUUGUCGGCAAUCCAGGACGCGGACAUCAAACAAGAAUUCUUUCGCAUCCAGUCGGAGUUUACGGACAUCAUCCAUCAAGAUGUCCUUCAUACCUCGGGGCAGUUCUACCUUAGACAUCAACCAUCCAACAGUGAGAUAGACGGAACGCUACAAAUGCAGGCUGACAACGCCCGCGAUUUCAUGACCAUCACGACAGACGGCGGCUUCAUCCAUGCUCCUGUCCAAUGAGUCGAGUCGAAAGUAGUGAUGUGUAGUUCUGAAACAUUGAUUGGCUCAUGUUGUAAUUAAACUUUAAUGAAUUGUAUGUCUCUUUGGUUUGGACAGUCGUUCAACUUAGAUGUAAUCGAUGCUAUUUAUUAGUAGGACCAUGAAUCAUGCUAUUAAUGUCUUGCUUUUCUCUUUCGAUCCUUUUGUUGCAUACUUAUAUAUUGCUUAUGUAUGGUCUGUUGUUUGGCUUGUGCAUAGAGAUGCCGUCGUAUGUCGUGUACAAUGGUAAGGUUCCCGGAGUCUACGACGACUGGAAGGAGUGUCGGAGACAGGUUCACCGUUUCAGCGGUAACAGUUACAAAGGCUACACCACUAGGGCGGAGGCGGAAUCUAGAUACACCCGCUAUCUAGCGGGAGAGAGGAGGGAGCGUUGGAGGAACCGGAUGAAGACCAGUUUCAUCGCGAUGAUGCUCAUCAUGAUGACCGCAGCUCUCUUCUAUGUGAUGGUAGUUUAGAUGAUUGAUAUCGACUUGUAUUGUGAAGACAAACUCGAUACUCGCGGUCUCGAGACUUGUAAUGUUUUAUCUUUGUUCGGUCUUUUGAAUUCGGAGACUAAUAUGAUGAAUUGUAUUCGGAGACUAAUCUUCUAUUGUAUUCGAUGAAUCUGCUGUUGCUGUGUACUGUUGUCUAUAUUCUGUCCAAUAAUAUAUUUUGUAACCUGUGCAAAAAUCAGAAAAGUAAAAAAAACCUAAUAUUCAUACUAAUGGCGCAUCACCUCAAGGUGCACCAUUAGUAUGCCAAAGGAUACUAAUGGCGCAUCACUACAGAGUGCGCCAUUAGUAUGCCAAAGGAUACUAAUGGCGCAUCACCCCACAGUGCGCCAUUAGUAUGCCAAAGCACAUGGUUAAAUAUGGCCCCCUGGGAGGCAUACUAAUGGUGCAUGGUGUUCUAUACUAAUGGCGCACUGCAUGGUGCGCCAUUAGUAAAAAAUAAUAGUGGCGUGAUACUAAUGGCGCACCAGUAGUGCGCCAUUAGUAGGCAAAACUGGUGCGCCAUUAGUAGGCCUUUUCCUAGUAGUGCGUGGAGGUGCGAAGGACCUCAACCCUCCGCCGGCAGGAGGGACCCCACUCUCGUUCUUGUUAGGUUCAUCCUCUUGGUUGGGGUUAUAUGAUGGUGGCGAUGUCCCUUAAUAGGAAUCAUGUUGGUCACAUUCAAUCCCCGUCCCCAUGGUGCAUCUACAAUCGUUGGAGGGCGUUUGGAGGUGUGUAUUCACCAGAUCUCCCAGGAUUCAGUCGGUGCUGGUCUUUAGAAGAUCUAUUUUAAUCUAGUAUUUCUUUGGGUGCUUAUGACGUUUGAUCCUUUCGAUCUACGAUUCUCUUCAUUGGUGAUGGUUGCUACUCUAGUGUGUUGGUCCUGUGGGGCUUUAGCACGAUGACUUCCUGGCUGUCUACUAUAAGAAGAUUUCCGAAACUCAAGUGAGGGAGGGGCGAUGACGGCGUCGUGCCUUUGGCUUGAUCUAGUGCUUGUAGUCGUUCCUAGGUGAUAAUUUUCUUAUAAUUUUUGUGACCUCUGAUGUUCUCUUUACUCAUGAUUGAUUAUGAAUAGAUCGAAAGUUUCUCAUGUAGAAACUACAUAGUUUAUCUUUUGGAUUUUUUACACGAAGGCCUUGGCCUCAAUCAACUAAUUAAAUAGAACAGAGUUGUCAUGUUAAUUUCGGUAAAAUCAGGCGAAAACCGAAAUUAUGCGCACAAAGGCCGAUCGUCAUGUAGCAUGACAAUUGCCAAUAGGGAAUUCCCGACCAAUAUUACUACCGACACAAACUUACAGAUACGCCGAUAAUAAGAGAACAACCGUCAAGACUGCCCAUAAGCACCAAGGUCAUCACCAACCGCCUUUGAUCCAGCUAGUCCGACUUUGCCACACACAAUCACCAACGAUGCUAUCCUUGCGACAUCUGUACAAGCACCGUAGUGCCAACAAUAGGUACUCCAACUUUGACAACAAGGUUUACAAGAGAAAUAUGCAAGGCAUGUGCUGCCCUAGCCCCCCGAUAUGGGCACCUUCAUAUUUCAUUCUCACCAGCAAAACCACCAUGCCAGCUCCAACUUCGCAAGGAAUGAUGAAACCCAAAAAGACCCAUCGGACAAAUCCAAAAGGUUUAAUGCUGAAGCAUGCAAAAAUUAUGCGGAACCUUAGUGUUGUCAUCAUCGCUAAACAAACCAUGCUAUACGGAUCCAGAGUAGUCUCCUUGGCAUCCACGCCGAACAAUCGAUCCAGUCCCGGCUCUAGCAAUCGAACCGUGGACAUCCAUGUUGACCCCUAUACUCACACGAAUUGUAUUCGAGUGAACCUUUGGUUACCAUAUUCUAUUCCUUUUGCUUUAUGAUACUUUACAAAACUCCANNNNNNNNNNNNNNNNNNNNNNNNNNNNNNNNNNNNNNNNNNNNNNNNNNNNNNNNNNNNNNNNNNNNNNNNNNNNNNNNNNNNNNNNNNNNNNNNNNNNNNNNNNNNNNNNNNNNNNNNNNNNNNNNNNNNNNNNNNNNNNNNNNNNNNNNNNNNNNNNNNNNNNNNNNNNNNNNNNNNNNNNNNNNNNNNNNNNNNNNNNNNNNNNNNNNNNNNNNNNNNNNNNNNNNNNNNNNNNNNNNNNNNNNNNNNNNNNNNNNNNNNNNNNNNNNNNNNNNNNNNNNNNNNNNNNNNNNNNNNNNNNNNNNNNNNNNNNNNNNNNNNNNNNNNNNNNNGGCCACCAUCGAGCCCUGCUGCCAUCGCCUUCCCGGUAGCAAGGGCGCCCAACACCACUCGCCAGUGGCCACCCUGUCAUGCCGCCGCCAACGACCUUGCUGCUGCUCGAGCGAUGAUCGCCCUGUCGCCGACGGCCGCCAUCGACAGCCGACCUCCCGUUGCUGGUGAUCAUCAUCGUCCACGACCGGCUCUACAGUUUAGCUCCUCCAGGUAGGCCAAAUGCCAGAGAGGCUAGCAGGUUUGCUCUUUGCCCUAGUUUGCCGCGUCAGUUGUCCACCAAGUCCACCGCUGUUAGCAGUCAUUCCGAUCCACCCUGCUUGUUCUCCCACCCUUAGUAGUCAGUACACUCUCUCCAGCUCAUUUAUUUAUUCCAAGAGCUCCCUCUCUUGAUGCAUGACAACCACUGCUUCUGUAGACUUGAUUAGAUCCUAGCUUGCUGCUCUCCCCGUAUGACUAAGCUUGUAGUAACAGCUCUUUCACGCCCUUGGGGAGGUUUGUUUCCUUGCAUGCAUGAUGAGUCCUAGCUCGUCCUCGAGUUCUGGAAGAUAUGAACACGCCUGACGAUGUAGGCUUUAGAGAAGCCAUGUAGCCACCGGACGAAGAGGGGCCUGUUUUGAGAGUUGCAUGCUCGAGCGGUACAGCUAUGGUACUGUCUCGGUCAUCGCCGGAGCCAGAUGCCCCGCCGUGCUGCACGCUGCCUGUCGGUGUCAAAACCGGCGGAUCUCGGGUAGGGGGUUUCGAACUGUGCGUCUAAGGCGGAUGGUAACAGGAGGCAGGGGACACGAUGUUUUACCCAGGUUCGGGCCCUCUUGAUGGAGGUAAAACCCUACGCCCUGCUUGAUUAUUCUUGACAAUAUGAGUAGUACAAGAGUAGAUCUAUCAUGAGAUCAGAGAGGCCAAACCCUACAAGCUAGCCUACGGUAUGAUUGUAUGUUGUCCUACGGACUAAAACCCUCCGGUUUAUAUAGACACCGGAGGGGGCUAGGGUUACACAGAGUCGGUUACAAGGAAGGAGAUCUGCAUAUCCGUAUUACCAAGCUUGCCUUCCACGCCAAGGAGAGUCCCAUCCGGACACAGGAGGAAGUUUUCAAUCUUGUAUCUUCAUAGUCCAACAGUCCGGCCAAAGGAUAUAAUCCGGCUGUUCAGAUACUCCCUAAUCCAGGAGUCAGGACUCCCUCAGUAGCCCCUAAACCAGGCUUCAAUGACUAUAAGUCCGGCGCGCAGAUUGUCUUCGGCAUUGCAAGGCGGGUUCCUCCUCCGAAUACUUCAUAGAAGAUUUUGAACACAAGGAUCGUGUCCGGCUCUGCAAAACAAGUUCCACAUACCACCAUAGAGAGAAUAAUAUUUCCACAAAUCUGAUCUGCUGACGUACCCCGUAGCGUGGCAUCACACCACAGCCAGGUCUUUAUUCGAAUCGUUUUUCAUAACCUAUCUCAGCGUGUUUCGUGAGGCAGUUUCCUUGGCACGUCUUGUCGAAGCAGAGAUCGUGUCCCCUUAUUACGGGAUUCCCAUCAAUACGGACGUGGGUAACCCAACCAUGCCAUCAAUUACGGCGCUUGGGGAUAAGCGAGUUUUACCAGGCUGGUGGGGGCGCAUAGUUUCGUCCGCCCUUAUAAAGGGAUAAGGUUUCACCAUCUUCUACCCACGCCUUCUUCCUCCUUGCUCAUCCAUUUUCGCGCACUCGAGCUCCAGCGCCCAAGUCCACAUCCUUCUCCUCAACUCUCUCCAAACAUGUCCGGAGCGGGAGGCAAGUGGAUGGCCUCCUCCGUCACGGAGGGUCACAUCAAAAACUACAUGGAGCCGGAUACUUAGCCGCGGAUAUCGCGCACUGGCUGCCAGCCGCGGGGAAGAUCGUCCCUACCCCGGAACCUCACGAAAGGGUGGUUUUCCUCCCCCACUUUGUCCGUGGACUGGGGUUUCCCCUCCAUCCAUUCGUCCGUGGCCUCAUGUUCUAUUAUGGGCUGGACUUUCAUGAUCUGGCCCCGAAUUUCAUCCUCAACAUCUCGGCGUUCAUCGUCGUGUGCAAGGCUUUACUCCGCAUCCGGCCCCACUUCGGCCUAUGGCUGAAGACCUUCAAUAUCAAGCCGAAGGUAGUAGGCGGCCAACAAGCGGAAUGCGGCGGGGCCAUGGUGGGAAAAAUGACCAACAUUACAUGGCUCAAGGGCUCCUUCGUGGAGACCAUAAAGGGGUAGCAAUCGGGGUGGUUCUACAUCACCGAGCCGCGCGACACCAACUAGGUGGCGGCCCCCGAGUUUCGAUCCAGAAUCCCCACGCGGCUCACUUCCUGGAAGGAGAAGGGCCUGUCUUGGGUCUCAUCGGUGGAGCUGGACGGACUCCAGAAGUGUAUCCGGAACAUGACAAGCAAGAAAAUUAAGCUUGUCAACAUAGUCCAGGUCAUGCUCUUCCGCCGGAUCCUCUCGUGUCAACAACGGGCUUUCAACUCAUGGGAGUUCGACCCGGCCCAGCACCAGACUCUACGCGAGCUCUUCGACAUGACGCAUAAGAACGUCUGGAAGGUGCUGUUCAAGGGCGCCGAGGUCCCCCCUUCUCUUACCGAGGACCGCGAGCUAAGCGCGAAGCGCCCUGCGAAUCCGGUAAGUUCUGUACAUCUGGUAGGGUAUUUAUUUCCCAUAGCUUUAACCAUGUGCGGGGUCUAAGCUCCCAUGCCUUUGACAAGACUGGGUGGAGACAUCGGAGCAGAUUAACUGUCCGGUCCCUCUGCCCGAAGACCCUGCAGACGCUCUCCUGACGGAGAUGCGGACUCCGGCUCCUUAUGAGGUGCCGGAGAAGACCAAGAAGAAGGCCACGGGAACCCGAAAGAGUUCCCGGCGCCAGGUGGUAUCGGACACAUCGUCUGAUAACUCCGAGACGCACUCCUCGUAUGAAAACAAGGAGAAGGAAGAUGAAGAUUCUCCCCCUCCAGCCAGGGGAGACAAGAAAAGGAAGGCCGCCCCAACCGGGGAGGCCGAAGGGUCCAAGAAGGGAAGGACUCUCCUUCCGGACUGCUCCACCACUGCCGUCGACGGCGAAGACGAAUGGCUACUCAGGGCCAAGCCCCUAGCGAAGUCGUAAGUAUUCGGAUACCAGAGUAACUCAUAGCAUACUUUUGUUGCACUGCUUCUCCUAACGUCGAAUAUGAUUAUGCGGUCCGCCCCAAGCCCGUAUCGACGUAUGCUUGUCGGACGGUUCCUUGGACUCGUCAGAUAUGGAUAGUGAUACACUUCCAACCGCCUCCUCUCCUUGCCCUACGGGCAAUGUCGAGGUAUUGUCUCAAGGGGCACUGAGCCGGGGGGAGGUAGUUCCGGAGGCGCCUCAAGAUGAACUUCCGGACUCCAGGCGCGAAGGGAGCAAGACUCCCCAGGGCUCCAAGUUCGGCCCCCAGCCGAACGCCGCGCCAGAACCUCCAGUGGUUCCGGACUCUGGCAGGCGGCCCCCUUCCAAGAGGGGCAAGCCGCCCGUGCCGAUGACCUCUGUCCAUCCAGAGGCACCGGACAACCUGCUGGGAGCGCUUCGCGGCGCUUCCAUCGACGAAGAGCACCGCACUAUUAUGAGUGCGAUGAUCAAGAAGGUUCAGUCCGCCAAGAGCGGACUGACUGAAGCCUGUGUCAUCCUUCUAACAGGCUUUGAGGUAAGUAUUUAAAAUAUAGGAAAAUAUUACCGCAUAAACCGUAGCCCCUGAUGCUCUGUUUGGUGUUCACAAAGAAAAGCCGAAUAGAGGAUCAAAUAAUAUCUCCAGGAGUCUAAUAUAAGUAUGUCUGUAUGCGUAUGUAGGCUUCGCUGCUGACCUCUGCCGCACUGACUGCGGAGGUCGCCGCACUGAAGCAGGACCUCGAGCGGUCCGAGAAAAAGCUCGGCCUUGCCAAGAGGCAGCUCGAGGAGAACAAAGGUAAGUAUAUAUAUAUAGGGUCACGCUAUUCGUCACUCUGGGUGAGGAAUAGUUAUUCUUCACCCCCUCUAUUUUACCAUCAAUGCACCAUAAUUUUACUUUCCGUAAGUUUUGUCUUAUUUCCGACGCAAAAAGGGACCGUAAGAAAAUAUAUAAUCACCGUAAAAAUAUUUUAUGUUAUGUAAAAUUACAAACGUAAAAACAUAGUCUAAAAUACACAUAAACUGCAAAUUUUAUUGUCUUAUGACCUAUAUUUUUAUUUUCUUAUGUCAAAUUUUACGUAGUGAAUCAAUAGGAAUGUAACUAUUUGAAUUUAAAACAUAAUUUAAUUAUGAAAUGAUCGUAAGAUUACCUCGAGUGAAGAAUAACUUAUUCUGCACCCUGGGUGAUGAAUGGUAACACUAUAUAUAUAUAUAUAUAUACUAUUCUAAUCACGGGAUCAGAAUAAUAUUCUGAUCACAACAUGAACUUCCCGAGUACCGCGCCUGACCUUCCCCGAGUACGAGGUUGAACUUCAGCUAAAAGGUGCCCAAAUGGGGCUUGCGAUAUACCAUUGGAAAGCUAUACACAUCAGUAUCAUGACCCAACUUAAAUUUUUGGCAAAAUGUAAGCGGUUUAAGAGCAGUUUCGAAAAUCGUUUUUUCUUCAUACAAAAAACAUGAAUCGUAUUUUCGACCGCAUUUUAAACCAUUUAUCGGAAUGAGGCAAAUAAUAUGGCGUUGGAAAGCUGCUGAAAAACCGCUCCUUCCACAUGUUGAAAGUUUUCUCUAAUUCCCUAUGGCUAAAGAGUAAUUCGGAAAAUCGUAGAAUUUCGCAAAUGAAACACCCGAGUUUGUAUUUUUGAUGCUAUUUCUAAACAGCUAAUCCAAUCGAGGCAAAUAAUAUGGCGUUGGAAAGCUUAUGAAAAUGCGCUAGUUUUUCAUGUUAAAAGUUUUUUCUAAUUUUGAACGGUUUAAAAGUAAUUUAGAAAACGGUACAAGUUCCACAAAGUUCGUAUUUUCGAGCUAAUUUUUUAACAUUACGUCCAAAUGCAGCAAAUGAUAUGGCGUUGGAAAGCUUGAAGAAAUGUGAAACUUUUUUGUAUAUAUUGUUUCUCCUAAUUCAUUACGGUUUAUGUCAGUUUUGAAAAUGGCUAAAAACAUAUUUUUGCCAUAAUUUCUACAAACUUUAUCGGAAUGGGGCUAAUAAUAUACCGCUGAAAAGCUACGGAAAAUUCGAAACUUCUUCAUGUUGAUGGUUUUCUAUGAUUCCUUGCCGUUUUCAAGUAAUUUCAAAAAUGACGAGAUCGUUCGUUCUGCCUAUAUCGCGAAACAGAUUCUUCGAAAAUGCACCGCGUGAAGAACCUGAACUUCUCGGCAUGUCUACUUGAACUUCACUCUGUUUUUCACGUGCUUUUUUUGCCCGUAGCUCUCCAUCCACUGCUCGUAGCUCUCCAUCCACUCACCGGAAUUGAGCAAGUGAUAUACCGAUGGAAAGCUGCUGUAAACACGCAACUUUCCCGUGUUGAUCGUUUUUCAUACUCGCGACAAUUUUAAAAGUUUUUCAUCUCAAUUUCAUUCACUAUAGUAGUCGAACUUCCUGUUGUUUUCAUGUUGAACUUCCUUGAUAUAUUUUCGUUUGUAAUUUUCUCAUCCAUUUCGUCAGUGUGUACACAAAUGAUAUUCUUUUUGUACAAAUCUAUCUCACAAUAUUUUUUUAACUUUCUCUGACUGAGGACUUGAACUUACCCAAAUGAUAUUCCUAUCAUUCUGAAGUAAAUUAGAGAAAUGACGAGAUCAUGAUUUCUGCCUUCAUUGCGAAAGGAAAUGCACUGCGUGAAGUAGUUGAACUUCUCGGGCAUGUCUAUUUGAAACUCACUCUGUUUUUGACGUGCUACUUUUUGCACCGCGUGAAGUAGUUGAACUUCUGGGGCAUGUCUGUUUGAACUUCACUCUGUUUCACUUUAUUAUUAUUUUAUAUUAUAUGAAAUACACACCAUGAAGUACGUGAACUUCUGGUUAUUAUCACUUUGCACUUCUCUCUGGUUUGAGAGAAUUGUUUUAAAAUACAAAAAACAACAUAUUUUUUAUGUAUUUUGGACAUCUAAAUACACGGUGAACCUCUCUCACAAGAAUUUGUUGAACUUUUCCUCACUGAGAACUUGAACUUCUAGCAACCAUUUUUUUCAUUUAUGAGUUGUUUUUAAAAGUGCAAAAAAUGGUGUUGUGUUUUCAUUUUUUGAACAGGUAAAUCCUAGGUUUAAUAAACUCUGAACUUCUCUGUUAUUUCAAUAUGAACUUCACCUUUUUAUAUUUUGAGUAAAGAAUUGUAUUUGAUUUUUAUACGAAAAAAAUCAAACAUGGAAAUACAAGGUGAACCUCUCUCGCGAGAAUUUUUGAACUUCUCUAGACAUAGUACUUGAACUUCUUUCAACAAAACUUUUAAGCUUUUAUUUUUCUAUACUUUUAUUUCUCACCUAAAUGCAUUCCUUACAGUACUUGAACUUCUCAUUGUCUUCACUAUGAACUUCUGUCACAUUUUAGUCUGUACGUCGAAUUACAUACAAUUGAAGAUCGGACGUCAUUUCUUGCCAUCUUCAAACAUGUAUUGGAUGUCGCACUUCCCGCAAUUAAAUUCUAAACCAUGCACGGAGGAGUACGGGAACUUCUUGCAACAUACCUUUUAAGAUUUUUGUUUUCUAUUCUUAAUUUUUUAUCUGAAACGCAUUCCGUGUAAUAGUUGAACUUCUCACUGUUUUCACCUUGAACUUCUGUCACUUAUUUUUGUUCAAGCUCUCUCAUAAGAAUUUUUGCACUUUUUUCAUACGGAAUGCCCACCGUGUAGUAUGUAAACUUCUGGCGGUUAUCAACCUGAACUUAUCUCGGUUACGUGAAAAUAUCUGAGUUUUUUUAAAACAUUGAAGCGCUCCACCUAUUUUAACUUGAACUUCUUGGUUUUAUUAUUUGAAGCGGGAAAAUCCGUUAUUUUCAUAUAGAUUAAACUACUUCGUUAUUUUUAAUUUGAACUUCUUGGUUUUAUUUUUGAACACGAAAAAAUGGCAAUAUUUAUUAAGAUCGAACUACUUUGUUAGUUUAAUUGAACUUCUUGGGUUCUUUUCAGAAACAGAAAAAUCUGAAUUUUUAUUACGUUUCUAAAGAUCCAUUUUUUCACGAUCGAACUACUCUUUUAUUUAAAUUCAAACUUCUCGAUUUCUCAACUAUGACUUCUCUUGAUUCUUGUACAUGUACCUCUCCGAAUUUUCCAUUGAGUCUUGUGCUUUUUUACCUUAAAUUUUUUGUUCAACUACUCAUUUUUUAUCCAUAAUGAUUGGACUAUCGACACCAUAUACUUCAUCAUUGAGUCAUAUAUAGUCAUGAAUCUUUUCUGUUCCGAACUACAAAUCACACGAAGUAAUCAUGAAUGUUUGAAAAAUCAAAAUUCUUACAUAUCGCGCUCAACCAGUAAAAGACAACUUAAAAUCAUACUUGCUUUGACUUUUUAUAAUAUACCUUGGCCUUUUUCUCGAUGUGAUGACGUACUCGCCCAAAACUAAAGAUAGACUUUUUAAUAAAGAUUCAUGAACUUAGAGUGUUUUUCAUUUUGUUUUUUAAGAUACACACUUCAUUUAAAUUAGUUACUUUGUUUAUUUUUCAAACUCAGAAUUAUGCUUCUCAUUCCAACUUCACUGAAGAUAUAUUUUUUACUUUCGAUGUUACAUGUCUUCAGAGGUUCUAUUUUGAAGAUUUUAGUGCUUUUGACCUCCCUUGCUUUUUCACAAUGAACUUCAUCUUUAUUUAUUUAUAUUCUAUAGUGUUCUAAUUUUUCCAAAUCUCCAUAUUUCAUGUCUCCAAACUAUUGUUUUUUAUUAAAUGUCCUUUGAACUAUGUUUUUCAUAAAUGCGUGAAAUUUGUAAUGUCAUUUUGUGACUAGUUGGGUUUGGUAGUAACUUUCGUAAAAUCAACAUCCAUCAGCCAAAGAACUUUAACUAAACUAUUCAAAAGGAAACUUUAACUAGUACACUGUUCUCGUAAAAUCAACACACAUCAGUCAAAACACUUUGAUACAAGUAGCACUAGAAGUACCACAUACGUUCCUUUCAAACAAAUACAAUAUUCUCUUUAUACACAAAGCUGUACUUGCUUUUACACCACACAUUUCGGUCCUUAUCUCUCCAUCUUACCUCCUGGAACAGACCACAACCACACGUUUAUUUUUUGUUCUCUCUCUGCUCAGUGUUACUUGUCUUUGCUCAUGGAUACGAAACUAGUUAACUGAAUGUAGCAACCCGAGCUAGAGAAGAUCAUGUUAACAGCUGGUUUAGGCGGCCGACGAACAUGGUCAGACCAACUCUUCGACCUUGUAAACCCUGUACUUCACGGGGUGGUGGCCAGCAUCCCCGCUGGAGAAAGAUGAAUAUGUCGAUCUGCUACUUCUUCAGAGUUUGACCUGCAUAGUUCUUCAGAGUCUGACCUGCUACAUCAUCACACAGGAUGGAGCGGACAUGCUCGUCUUGGUGGGUAACCUCCACGCUGAGGAGGUAGGUGUCCUCGAACGCAUCUGCUGUGGUAGGAUGGUCUCGGUGUAGAUGAACCGACGACAACCGCGAUGGAGAAAAGAACGACGAGGAGAGAUGGCUAUCCGCAUGGACUGCUCACGAGCGAGAUGGCGGACUGCCCACACAGAACGGAGGGGCUUACGGCUUGUGGAUGGUGCAGGUCGCAACGGCAGGGCAGAUAGCACACCGGCCACAACUGCUUGGGGAAGCUGCAGCCAAGUUGUGGGGGAGGAAAGGGAAGCGGUGCAUGGAGCUAUGCAUGGCGCAUCACGGGGAUGUGGUGGCGACAUAGGGCGGUGCACUGGGUGGCGGCGGGUUUCAGGAGGCCGGUGGCGCACGAGGUGGCGGCGAGUUUCGGGAGGCCGACGACGCGCGGUGUGGCAGCGGGGUCCUGAAGCUCAUCGGCGCACAGGGUGGCGGCGGGAUCCCGAACGAGGUGCCCGAGCGGCGAUUGGGGAUGGAGGCAACCGCGGCAACCGCUGCGGCGGUUGCGGGAGGAGGCGGCCGGGAGGCGCGAUGUGCCGGGGGCGGUGGUUCGCCAGCGGUCCGCGUGUGGGGGCGCGUGGGGUGGAUCUGCGUCCGUGGGAGAUGUGGGGAACGGGAGGUGGAAGACAAUUGUGUGGGCCGGUUCUUUUGUUUUUCGGGAGUUCGGAAACACCCAGUCGGGCCUAUAUAGGGCUAGCCGUGAUCCAAAUAGUUAUUUUAAUCUUGGGAUUAGAAUAGUGUCACUAUAUAUAUAUAUAUAUAUACAAAAUGAUAGGAUCAUCAUGGAUGUGCCAGGGUCCACGACCGAAGUGGCGACACUGAAGCAAGCACUGUCCGAGGCCAAAAACAAGGCGGCCAAGGAGCGCACCGAGCGGGAAAAACAAGAAGCGCGGGUGGGCGAGGUGCAGCAAGAGCUCCAUGCUCUCGUGAAGAAGCACGAGGCUUUGGAGCUUGACUCAAAGACGUGAGAGUCCGAGCUUGCCGUGGCCCUCGAGAGCACAAGGCAUGCAAGGCUGAAGCCUAAAAGGCCCUCCAGGAGAUUGAGGCAAUGAGGAAGAUAGCGGCGGGUAAGGCAUUCAAUAUGCAAAGCAAGGAUGUGAAAGUAAAUUACUUAUUACUUACCCGAGUCCGGAGCUCUCCAGGAGCAUUCGUAGAUUUGCCCCGCAGCGUGUCGGAUGCCGCGAAAUAUUACCAGGCCGAGGAGGGAAUCUCGACGGAGAAAUUGUUCUGGUCUCAGUAUACUGGGACCGAACACCCAAUGCCUAUGAGCGACCAGCUGAAGCAACUGGCCGAGCUGCACAAGGCGGCCGAACAGGCCAUGAGGGGCCUUAUAGUCCGGAUGUGGCCUGGCGAUUCCCUUCCCAACAGCUACUUCGGCCUGGUGAGGCGGCUUGUGGAUGCCUGCCCAUGGCUGGAAGUCAUAAAACGGUCCGUCUAUAUCGAAGGUGCACACCGGGCUUUUGCCCGUGCGAAGGUGCACUAGGCCAAGAUGGACGCCGAGAAGCUGGUGAAGGAGGGGCCGCCGCAGGGCAAGGAACAUCGCCACCCCGAAAUGUAUUAUGAGGGUGUCCUGAAAGGUGCCCGUCUUGUGGCGGACGAGUGUGCGAAGGAUGUAAUUUUUGAAUGAACUUGCUCGUGUGAUCCUGUACUACGAAAACUUGUUCAUAUGCGCUAUGCAAUGCUUGUUUAAAUUUAAAAUAUUACCUUCUGUGCGGCUGUUUAUCAAAUCUGAGAGAUGGCCAGUCGUCGGCUUCUGCCCCUAUGCCAUGAGUGCUGGGAUGUUCGGGAUAAACCUGAGCACUCUUUUUCCCAUUGUUGGGUCCUUCGAGGGAGGUGCUCAGCACAAUGAACAAGGCAAUCGGAUUAUAAUGCUUUAUCACUCUCACUUAGCCAUAGAAGUCUACAAUUUUAAAUUUUGGUGAAGCCCCUAGUAUUCGAAAGGCCGAAUUCGGGGCGCUAUACACGCCUUAAGCCGGACAAAGCCGACUCCUCGCUCUAAGCGGCAUAAGUCUUUAGGGACUCGAGACCUCUCGAACAGCAACCAGCUCUUGCCUUAUCAUGGCAGUCAGUUUUAGUUUUCUCUACUGAGGUGCUUGCCCAGAUGAACCGGGGCACAAUCGCAGUAGUUCUCCCAGUGCUACCUUAGCCGAUAUAGCGGAAUGUAAGGUACCAAAACAUGGGAGCCGGGCAAACCCAACUAUUGACCCAAGACAUGAUUCGGAGCUGAUGCAUAUAAUGCUAUAAGUUCGGGGUGCCGCACUGCCAAAAGUUUUCGGACUUCUCACGCCGUAUUAUGGGGUACGCUUAAGCCCUUGGCGUAUUGGCCGUAUCAGAGUGUACGGGUGUUGAAUGUCAUGAAUGAAUAUAUAUAUAUAUAUAAGAAGAAUAGAGAAUGCGAUAAUAGUCUAGUGCUAUGCAUUGUUUAUUCAAAAAGGUGCAUCGAAGCAGAAUGAUACAAGUAGUGCGAUAAGCAAAAAGUAGGACUAUUUGACAUGUCCCCUCCAAGGGCAAGCUAAGGAAUGGUAUUUAAAGCAGGUAUUUCACUCGUUAUCAGAGACCACCUGGGAAUUCCAUGAUGCGAUGUAGCUUUCUGCCUCCUUGGUUGUUGUAUCGUGUGUCCAGCAAUCAUACUGCCGGACGGGGUUUCCAGAGAGUAAAGUCCUGAAAGAGAGAAAAAAAUAACAAGGCGGAAAGCCCCUAGUGCGGUUGAGCCAUGUUUUGGGACGUGUCGUAGUCGUGCCCCCCCCCAUCUAUGCCCAUGGUAUUUUCAAUGCGUAAUUAUGUACGCGUGGCUCGGAUUUCGCUGUUUGGCUACGACUGGGGUGGGGGUCGCAUUGCUAUGCGAGCUCGGAACGUGCCAGGCGGUCUUGUUGCCGAUUACUCUGGGCGCGCUUGAAGGUGUCCGGGUCUUUAAUCGCCGAACCGGUGGAUUGCCUUAAGAGGCUGCUUUGGGCUUCUACUUCGAGGGCCGCAGUGUGCUUCUCCGUGCGGAGAGAGCGCUCUGUGUUUCUAUUGACUAUGAUGACCCCCCGAGGUCCUGGCAUCUUGAGCUUGAGAUAUGCAUAGUGCGGUACCACGUUGAAUCUCGCAAAUGCGGUUCGCCCGAGCAGUGCAUGAUAGCCACUGCGGAACGGGACUAUAUCGAAGAUUAACUCCUCGCUUCGGAAGUUAUCCGGGGAUCCGAAGACCACUUCUAGUAUGACUGAGCCUGUGCAAUGGGCCUCUACACCUGGUAUGACGUCUUUGAAGGUCGUUUUUGUGGGUUUGAUCCUUGAGGGGUCUAUACCCAUUUUGCGCACUGUGUCCUGAUAAAGCAGGUUCAGGCUACUGCCACCGUCCAUAAGGACUCGAGUGAGGUGAAAUCCGUCGAUGAUUGGGUCUAGGACCAGUGCGGCGAAUCCGCCAUGAUGGAUACUAGUGGGAUGGUCCCUGUGAUCGAAGGUGAUUGGACAGCAGGACCAUGGGUUGAACUUUGGGGCGACUGGCUCCAACGCAUAUACAUCUCUUAACACUCGCUUCCGCUCCCUCUUAGGGAUGUGGGUUGCGUAUAUCAUGUUCACCGUCCGCACUUGUGGGGGGAACCUCUUCUUUCCUCCGGUGUUCGGCUGCCGGGGCUCUUCCUCGUCAUCGCUAUGUAGCUCCUUAUCUUUGUUUUCGGCAUUUAACUUGUCGGCCUGUUUGAACACCCAACAAUCCCUGUUAGUGUGGUUGGCUGGCUUGUCGGGGGUGCCGUGUAUUUGACACGAGCGAUCGAGUAUAUGGUCCAAACUGGACGGGCCCGGAGUGCUUCUUUUGAAUGGCUUUUUCCACUGACCGGGUUUAGAGCCUUUGAAUCCGGCAUUGACUGCCGUAUCCUCGGUAUUGUCGCUGUUGAUGCGGCACUUGUGUUUGUUGCGACGUGACCUGCUAUUGCUAUCCUUGGUAUCCGAAGUACCAUGGUUCUUUGAUAUGUUGUUGCUGUGAGCCAGCCAGCUGUCAUCUCCCGCGCAAAAGCAGGUCAUGAGUGUCGUGAGGGCUGCCAUAGAUUUCGGCUUUUCUUGGCCAAGGUGCCGGGCGAGCCACUCAUCGCGGAUGUUGUGCUUAAAAGCUACUAGGGCCUCUGCAUCCGGACAGUCGACAAUUUGAUUUUUCUUUGUCAGGAACCAUGUCCAGAAUUGCCUGGCCGAUUCCUCUGGCUGCUGAAUUAUGUGGCUCAAGUCAUCGGCAUCUGGUGGUUGCACAUAAGUGCCCUGGAAGUUGUCGAGGAAUGCGGCUUCCAGAUCUUCCCAACAGCCAAUGGAUUCUGUUGGCAGGCUGUUGAGCCAAUGCCGAGCUGGUCCUUUGAGUUUGAGUGGGAGGUAUUUGAUCGUCACCGCGGGCCAUGUGGAUGUGCAGGAGGAAGUCCUCGAUCCAUACCGCAGGCUCUGUUGUGUCGUUGUAUGAUUCGAUAUUUACGGGUUUGAAACCCUCUAGGAUUUGAUGAUCCAUUACUUCGUCUGUGAAGCAUAGGGGCUGCGCAACGCCUCUGUACUGGGCUAUAUCGCGACGCAGCUCAAAUGAGUCUUGUCCGCUGUGUUCGGCUCGGUCGGAUUUACUUUUACUAUAUCCGGUGUGAUGGUUAUCGUCUCGCAUAGUGGCGCGCCCUCGUGAUCCGUAGAUCGAUCUUGCGUGUUUUGCUUUGUCAUCCAAUAUGCCUCAGAAGUCUGGUGUAUUUCCCCGUGCUUUGACAUUUUUAUUUGAGUGGCGUCAGGGUGCGGGCUGAGCUUUUGGCUGAAAUGCCUCUCUGUCGCAGCCACGAGGUGGCCGAUUAGCCGCGUCAUACGCUAGAGAUAUAGGUUUUGGUGCUUCCUCCUCCAGUCGGGGUAGCAACAUGCGCUUUGGGUAACUCUUGGAGGGGCUUUCGAGUUUAUAUUCCUCGGCCGCAAGGACAUCAGUCCAUCUGUCAGCUAGCAAAUCUUGAUCAGCUUGAAGCUGCUGUUGCUUUUUUUAAGGCUAUUUGCCAUGGCUAUAAGCCGACGCUUGAAGCGCUCUUGUUCGAUGGGAUCCUCGGGCACGACAAAUUCGUCAUCGUCAAGGCUUGCCUCGUCUUCGGAGGGAGGCAUGUAAUUAUCAUCCCCCGCCUUUCCAUCUACUGCUCUCUCGGGAGGGCUGGCUUCUUCAUUCUCCUGCUCUAAAUCUUGCUGGAGGGGAUUGUUGUCAUCUUCGGCACUGUCCGGAGUGCUAUUAUCUCUUGUGCAGGUAUCACCGCUUUUGCCUUGGCGAGACUUAGAGCGGCGCCGCUGACAUCGGCGCUUGGGUUGCUUCUUGGAGGGGUCAUCCUCCCCUGUCCCAUCGCCAUUGCCUUCUUUUGGUGUGUCCACCAUACACAUCAUAUGAUGAGGUGGCUGUCCGGUGCCCUGUGGGUAGUGGGGUUCUUGUUCCCCUCCUGCAUCGUCGUCCAUACCGCCGAUGUCUUCGGAGUCGAAGUCGAGCAUGUCGGUUAAAUCGUCGACAGUGGCUACUAAGAGUAUCUCCAGCCGCGCGCCAACAGGCCCUCUCCAGGCAAUUUUGCCAUGCCGACGUCGAAAAAACGGCCUAAUCGCGCCCCCAGAAGCCCGUUUUUCGCCGUCUCAGGGCGAAACUGGUGCCGGCGGACCCAGGGUGAACCCUGCUUCCUCGGGGGCCUGGGGCGUCGGCACAAGCGAAAAGGGCACGUGGGUCCGCCCUGUCGGCGAGGCGAGCGCCUCUUCCCGCCGUUUCUUCUCGUGUUUUCCCCACUUCCCUCCCGUACUCUUCCUUCCUCCCGCCAAUCUCCCUCCCGCUCGCCUCCCUCCCAGCCGGCCGCCAUGCCACCGAAGAAGUACGUCGCCCCCCGCGCGGCGGCAACCACGACUGCCUUUGUCGCCCAGCCGAAGCAGAGAAAGCCAAGGGCGCCGCCGAUCAAGCCACCGGGCAUGUCAAACACCGAGUGGAGGGCGGAAGUUCAGCGGCGGGAGGCUGUCACCGCCGACCGGUGGAACAGGGCCAUCGCCAAGAAGGCCUGCGACAACGCGGCGCGCGCGGCUGCGGCUGCCUCGGCGGACCAAAUCGAGGCCGAGGCGACUCGCGCGGGAUGAUGAAUCCACCUGGAAGCCACACCCAGUACGCGCCCUGGGGCCAGCAAGGCGUCGGCUAUCCGCAACCAUGGGGAUCGCCCUCACCGGGCUACGCCGACGGGGACGCACACGGUGAGUUCAACCCAAACAUCACCUUCCCCCAUGGAUACCCGGCCCAGCGCACGCCCUCUCCCGCCUUCGCCGGCUUGUAGUACCCUCCAUACAACUACUCGCCGCCCGCCUAUGCUUCCUCCCCGACGCCCCCGCUACACUGUGGCCUGCUGCCCUUCUCGCACCUCGGCGACACCGACGAGACCGAGGCCGACAUGGACGACAUCAUCGCGACAGGUUCGGCCGCGGCCGCCGCAUCUCCCGGGUUCGUCACCCAGGACGAGGUGGUGGAUCUCAGCGGCGGCAUGGACGGCGAGCUCGGCUACGUCUACGGCAAGGACGAGUAGGAGGAGCAGAAGGAGGAGGACGUCGAGGAGGAGGAGGAGGAGCCGACGCCUGCGACGACGAAGGGGCGCAAGAAGAAGCGGGCGGCCAGGACAGGCGAGCCGCGCAUCAAGUGGGCGUCCAAGGAGGAAUGCCUCGCCGAAGCAUGGAAAGUCGUCUGCCUCGACCCGACGAUUGGCACGAACCAGAGCAUCGACACGUACUGGGACCGCAUCAAUGCCGAAUUCGACGAGCGUAAGCUCGUCGACCCCUACUUCAAAGGCGUCUACAUGCAGCGCGGCUCCAAGGCGAUGGCGAACCAUUAGGGGCGUAUCCAGGGGCGUGCAACAAAUGGCAUGGGGUCGUCGAGGAGGUCGCGGCUCGCCCGGAGAGCGGCGCCAGCAUCGAGGAUCAGGUAUGCCACGCCGGCCUCCCGCCUCUCUUCGCCGUGUACGCGCACCAACUGUUUGUCCCUCCACGCAGUUGCUGCGCAUGUUCACCCUGUACCGGCAGAGCAACAGCGAUGCCGAAUUCAAGUACCUCCACGUCUAUAAGCGCAUUGACAAGUGCGAGAAGUGGGCGGACGUCUGGCGCACCCUCGACAAGGCCAAGGAGACCUACAAGCCGGACGCGCCGACUCCUGGCGCAUCGGAAGGGCGGCCGGACGGCAACAAAGUUGCCAAGAAGGGGAAAUACGCUGACACGGCCACCGCUAGAGUGCAGGAGUCCAUCGAGCACUACCUCGCCGACGCGCAGGCCCGGGCCGUCCUUCGUGAAGAGAAGACCGAGGCGCGGUGGUCGACGUUGAUGUCGAGCAGCGCCGUCAAGCUCGACCUGCUCCGGACGAACGUCGCCGCGAAGAAGAGAAACACUGAUCUGGCUUUCCUGCUGGGCGGGGCGGACAUGCUCCAGAGCACCGACGAGGCGGUUAAGGUGUGGUACUUAGCGAAGCGAAGCCUCAUCCUGAACCAGCUUCCCUCGACAAGGCCGCCGACGCCGACGCACAUGCCGACGCCGCCGCCAAGCCCACGUGACGACGCCUCCACGACGCCCAGCACCACCGAAGCUGCGCCGACACCGCCCAGCGCAGAGGCUGCUCCGACACCGCCAAGCCCGCACACGCCAACUCCGCCGACGCCUGGGGCAUAGCCCGCCGAGGGAUGCGCACGCGAACUUCUGUCGCUCUAUUUUUUGUACGCCGAACUGUGGCUUGCGAUCGCCCGACUUGUGGAGUCUUUUGUGAGAGGGAACAACCAAGUUCGAAUUUUUCGCGUCCUGGGGGCAGCGCCUAGGGGCGUGACUGGGAGUUAGGUCGCCCCCAGGGGCCGAACUACCAUCGGUUCGCCCCCAGACCGCCCUUUUUUAGCGCCCUGGGGGGCCAAACGGCUGGAGAUGCUCUAAGUGGGUGGUGGGUGCGCGGCGAAUUUCUUCGUCAUCCGCAUCCCAGUCCUGCCGGACAUAGUUUGGCCAGGACUCUCCUGACAAGGAGAGAGACCUUAAUGAGUUCAGUGUGUCGCCGAAGGGCGAGUGCUGAAAAAUAUCCGCGAAGGUAAACUCCAUGAUCGGCGCUCGGUCGGAUUCGGUAGGCACGGGCACAGGCAGUUCGGAGUCCGUGGCCGGGGAAGAAUCCGACAGUUUGGCGUCACGGCUCUCGUGAAGGGUAAGGUCGAUACUCAGCUUAAUCGUCGCUGAGGAUACGGCCUCCGUGGCGGGGUCUAUCCACCCGUCCAUGGAUGGCGCAAUUGGCUCCGAAUUGAGGGUCAGAGCAGUUGCCGGUGCGAUCUCAUGAACACUUUUCGAUGAUAGAGCUAAAUCAUGCUCAUCGUGACCGUGUGGCGCACUCGUCAGGGGCUCGAAUCCGUCGAAGAUCAAGUCUCCGCGGAUAUCGUCCGUGUAGUUUAAGCUUCCAAACCUGACCUGGUGGCCAGGGGCGUAACUCUCGAUCUGCUCCAGAUGCCCAAGCGAGUUGGCCCGCAGUGCGAAGCCGCCGAAUACAAAGAUCUGUCCGGGGAGAAAAGUCUCACCCUGGACUGCAUCUCUAUCGAUGAUUGAAGGAGCCAUCAAGCCUAAUGAUGACGACAUAGAGGAACUCUCAAUGAAAGCACCAAUGUCGGUGUCAAAACCGGCGGAUCUCAGGUAGGGGGUCCCGAACUGUGCGUCUAAGGCGGAUGGUAAUAGGAGGCAGGGGACACGAUGUUUUACCCAGGUUCGGGCCCUCUUGAUGGAGGUAAAACCCUACGUCCUGCUUGAUUAUUCUUGAUAAUAUGAGUAGUACCAGAGUAGAUCUACCACGAGAUCAGAGAGGCUAAACCCUAGAAGCUAGCCUAUGGUAUGAUUGUAUGUUGUCCUACGGACUAAAACCCUCCGGUUUAUAUAGAAACCGGAGGGGGCUAGGGUUACACAGAGUCGGUUACAAGGAAGGAGAUCUGCAUAUCCGUAUUGCCAAGCUUGCCUUCCACGCCAAGGAGAGUCCCAUCCGGACACGGGACAAAGUCUUUAAUCUUGUAUCUUCAUAGUCCAACAGUCCGGCCAAAGGAUAUAAUCCGGCUGUCCGGAUACCCCCCUAAUCCAGGACUCCCUCACCGCCAUUCUGGAUGAAGGUGUGUUCUUCUUGCCGGCCUUUCUGGCAAAAAUCCUUUGCCACUGGUUUGGGGGCAACCCGGCUGGUUUCCGGGUACGGCCGUUGGCCGUUGUUCAUUUCGAAUUUGAAGCGGCCCAUGUAGGCGUUGCAUGGGAGAUCAUACGUAAAAAUGUCUGCACUUGGGGGCCUAUGCACGUGGCCGUCUCCUUGAGUAACGGUAAACGUGCCAGGCUGGAUGUGAGGCGCAGACCUAGGAUGUGCACUAUGCACCCCCCCCCCUUUCCCCUUCGCUACUUGGACCUUACCCUGGCACGGUGCAACGCUCCUCCAAUCUCUCAUUCAGUGUGAAAGAUCCUCUUAGCCCGGUUUUCCCGCGGCCUGUGGAAGAAGAGUCUCCGCGGCUGCAUGCACCAUGCAAUAGUAAUCAUGCUCAUGUCUUAAUUCCUAUUCACUCGCAGGCUGCCAUGCAUGCCGACCAACCCAAUGGCCCGACCUGCAGGCAUGCUGAUGAGAUCCUUUCGGCUAUCCGGGACGCCCCUGCUAGCUGUCGCGAAAACCAACAUAAUGACAUGCCUGUCCUGCGCCAUAAUUCCUACUUGCAUGCCCUACUGUCACGUCCGGCGCCUGGGAAUCAAGCAAGCUCAGCGCAGCGCGUCACCUCCAAUGCAAUAAAGCAAUCUACAAAGCCUAAGGUUUGCAUCUUAGAUGCUAUAGGUGCCUAUCUUACAGCCACCGGCGUAAGGAUUGCAAAGACCCCAUUGUCUGUUGGUCCUGCCGACAGGUGGGCCACAUUCUAUCCCAAUGCAUCUCCCGGCGCGGCUCAUCGUCUUCGUGCGCUACCCCCACGCCUCCUUAUAACAUGANNNNNNNNNNNNNNNNNNNNNNNNNNNNNNNNNNNNNNNNNNNNNNNNNNNNNNNNNNNNNNNNNNNNNNNNNNNNNNNNNNNNNNNNNNNNNNNNNNNNNNNNNNNNNNNNNNNNNNNNNNNNNNNNNNNNNNNNNNNNNNNNNNNNNNNNNNNNNNNNNNNNNNNNNNNNNNNNNNNNNNNNNNNNNNNNNNNNNNNNNNNNNNNNNNNNNNNNNNNNNNNNNNNNNNNNNNNNNNNNNNNNNNNNNNNNNNNNNNNNNNNNNNNNNNNNNNNNNNNNNNNNNNNNNNNNNNNNNNNNNNNNNNNNNNNNNNNNNNNNNNNNNNNNNNNNNNNNNNNNNNNNNNNNNNNNNNNNNNNNNNNNNNNNNNNNNNNNNAAGCCUUCCAGCCCCCACUGCCUCCUCCUGCUCUCUAGCACUUCUACCUCCUAAGCCUGGGCCUCUCGCCUCCAUGGAGCCGGUGGUCCGAGGCCAUCCCACCUCUCUCGAUGUUCACUACCGACUACUUCCAGACCAAAAUGCCCAAGUUUGCCUCGUAAACAUCUCUCCGCCCAUGUCUGGUUUCCUUCCUUGGUUCAAGCGCCUCUUAUCGAAACGGCGCGGCAUCACUAUUGUCCAGUUUUCCAGAUGUGCUACUGGCACUGUGUUCACCGUCUUCCAUCGGGAGGCAAAUCAAGUGGCCGCCAUGAGAGCCAGCCCAUUGGAAACUGACACCCGUCGAGAUGGUAAGCCCGACACCAGAACGCCUCUGCUUGAUGACAAGAGCCUUAGCACUGCUUAUUUCUACAAGUUGCUCACCUUUCGAGGAAAAAACUAUACGCCAGCCUGCUUCAUUUGGGACAGAAUCAUACCCCACAAACACCGCAUCUUCCUGUGGAUUGCGCUCCGGGACAGACACGGCACCAGAGAUAAUAUGUUAAGCAAGCAUUGGGAUAAAAUUGUUUCACAUAAUGGUUGUGAUCUAUGCCCAGCUGCGGAGACAAUGAGCCACAUUUUACUACGAUGCAAACUAGCACAAGCACUAUGGUCCAACUUAGGCCUGCAGGAGCUAGCCACAUCUUCUACAGAACCUGAAGUUUUCCUAUUCUCCGAACAACCAAGGGCACUGCACGGCAAGCUAUGGCAUAUUCUCUUCGCGGCAUGUGCGGUCACACUUUGGAAUGCCAGGAACGCACAAGUGUUUGAUGGAUCUUUUUGGCAAGAGCGCCAGGUAUACAAUGGAGUCACUGAGCUGAUCAGACUAUGGAGCCUGUGUGCCCCACAACAUACUAGGCGGAGCCUUUGGGAUUGGGCAACUGCUUUUGCUCCUAGUUAGCAAGAUGUGUUCUCUCCCGUUCUUCUAUCCUGCACUAUGUAUCUUAGCAUAGGCCUGGUGAUGGCAUGCUGUACAAAUUGUGUGGCGUCAACAUCACCUUCAUGUAAAUGACUGUGGUCAUCCAGGUUUUCGCCCAUUUUGAAUGCAUAAGGUAGAAAAUGCUCUACCUUUUUAUUCAAAAAAAAUAUCGGCAUCCCUGUGAGUCAAAAUCAUUGGCACUAUAUGUCAGUCUCCUUGUUAUCGGUUUUCUUGUCUUUUCUCGUUCUCGUGUUCCCGCAUCCCCGUGAUCAAUUCACGCUGUGUCUGGCCAGAUGUUGAUGGAUGCUGUCACACCGAGAGGGCCUGAAGAAUAUAUUUUCAUCGCAUGAGGAGAAAAUCCUAGUCUCGAGCUAUCUAGUCCCUUGCCAUACGUUUCCUAUGAACAUGUAAAUUGUUGUUAUGAUCACCCUGUUAUGGUUGACGUUGGACCAACCCCAAAGUGCAUCAUCCAGUAUGAAGUGACUCAAUGUUCUCAUGGUCUAAAAAAUUGUGCAUAUGUUAACUUUCUGUGUUAUGGACUAUAAACCUGUGACGAAAUUAUCUGGAAGUAUAACAUACUACUUGGGUCAAUUCAACACAAGUGUUCCUCCAACAUUGUGCCCUCGAUAUUGUUGACAUCAUCGUUACACUUAACUAUAACCAUGAUCAGGAAAACAAAAUCAUCAUGCAACACUUGAGCUAGUCCUAACGGCAAGACUAGGAACCUUAUUUUUACCGUUUAUAAUCCUACAUGUGCAUGUGAUUUUUUUCUCUGAGCCUCUUAGUUUUCACAAAUUCGAGAACCAUAGCAAUUUUAUCAUAGAAUAUAAACAUCAAUUAUAAAUUUAGAAAUAAAUAAUAACAUAAUUAUUAUUGCCUCUAGGGCAUAUUUCCAACAAUUGCUUCCAAGAAAUUCAACAACCGCCUUGAUCCCCGCAUCCCCGAUAGAAACCAUUUGACGGGCGGUAAGACCAUCGGAGAUGGCGGUUUCUCCGUGAAUAAUCAAUCUGAAUAAGGGAUGUUCCUUCAGAGAUUCAGUGGGAUAAUUCGAGUGCACAAAGCAUGUACACAUUUAGCACACACACAAAAUUUGGAGUCAUAAUUUAGGUACCUCCCUAUAUGGGCGGGCAUGUAACUUUAGUGCAACUACGCCCGUUAGGAUUCAACAAGUUCAAUCUGCUGGAUAUAUAGGAAGAUAGGGGAGGGGUGUUUUGGCUCCCUGGAGCACUCCCAGAUGAACAGUAAAUUGAAAAAAACUAUUUUUUGUAGAUGUGUUUGUUAGUCCCUUCCAGUACUCCAAGGUGUGCUGGUGCUAAGGCUACCACAUAGGCAAAAAAAUGAUGUGACAAAGCACUUAAAGAGGAGAAAGAGCAUUAUGCUGACCCCGAAAGGAAACGAUGAUAAGCGUGUGAAACUGUGCAAAAUGGCUACCAACCCAUGCGUGAAGGAAUUUAGGUUUUAAGCAAUUAAAUGAGAGGAGCUUAGAUACAAAAGUUCAGCACCUAUGUAUUGAGAAGAUUAGUUACUAUGGUUGUUAAUGCACUUAGCAUUUCACCUAAGCACCAAUGCAUUGGAAGAUGUGACAAAUUUCAUGUGAAACGCAGCAGCAAUGUUUCGUCGGUGAAAAAAACAAAUUUGGGGUCACAUUUUUGGAUGACAUUUGGUCUUUUUUUUUGCACAUGCCAAAAUGCUUAACCUUUUUGCCUCAAAAUCUGCAGGUAGCAUUUGUAUGUGACUAAGAUCACAUAAAAAUUUUGUCUUGAUUUUUUCACAUUCGACAAAUUAUUUUUGGGCCCGGGAGCAUGUGCUCCCGUGAGCCAAAUUGAAUUUCCGGAAAGAUAGUCGAUUCCAAUGAAAUUUGGUGUAAAGAAAAUACACAGAACAUUGUGUCAAGGAUGGUCAAAAUAACAGCUGGUGUACUCAAAUAAUAACUCCUAAUAAAUAAAUAGUUUUAAAAACUCUGAAUAAAACACGCGAGAAUAGUUUACGUACAGACAUGUAGCCCACUGAAAGAGUGGCCUUUUCUUUUCCCGCCAAGACACCAACCAUGCCAUAUGCCAACCACACCUGUCAUCAUUAUUUUCGUUUGGCAUUACAGUAUUUUACUCCCUGGACCACAUUCUUUGCACACCAGAAUCAAUAAACGUUGACGACGAGGGCCACGAGGGGUGCCAUCCAUGCCAACCCGGCCUGCAUGAUUAAGUCUGAACUGCUGUCCCUCGUGGAUACUCGGCGACCGGCGACCUCACCAGACCCCAUCCGGCACCAACCCCGCGCUCCGGGACACCUAUUUAUAGCUCUCGCCGCGCACGCUCUGGGCAACCAAGCAGCCGCUGCAACAUACUGCAACUACUUUGCACUAGCAACACAACGCUCUGACUGAGCUCAUAGCCUUCGCGCCUGCCCGUCUUAACUAGUUGAUCGCCGCAGCAAUGGCCUCCACCAACAGCUGGACCCACGAGAUUGAGUCCUCGGUCGCGGCACCGCGCCUGUUCCGUGCCGGCGUCAUGGACUGGCACACUCUGGCACCCAAGCUCGCGCCCCACAUCGUCGCCAGCGCCCAUCCCGUCAACGGCGAAGGCGGCAUCGGCAGCGUCAGGCAGUUCAACUUUACCUCAGGUACGUACGCAUCACAAUCCCAUACAACCCAUGCGUGUCACCUCAGUCUAGAAAUCCGGCGUGUAUCUAUACAUGGUCAAGCGAAAGCAUAACACGCAGUUGAUCAUGCAGCCAUGCCCUUUAGCGUCAUGAAGGAGAGGCUAGAGUUCCUGGACGAGGAGAAGUGCGAGUGCAAGUCAACCCUCAUCGAGGGCGGCGGCAUCGGCUCGGCCAUCGAGACCGCAACGUCGCACAUCAAGGUGGAGCCGGCGGCCAACGGCGGGAGCGUCGUGAAAGUGGACUCGACGUACAAGAUGCUGCCAGGCGUGGAGGUGAAUGACGAAAUCACCAAGGCCAAGGAAUCCGUCACCGCCAUCUUCAAGGCCGCCGAGGCCUACCUCAUCGCCAACCCCGACGCCUACAACUGAAUCUGUUGAGAGAUAUCAUACAUGAUUAUGAUGUCCCUAGUUUGAAUUCCGUGUGUUUUCUUCCCGAUGUAAUAAAGCUGCUCCAAUCUCUAAGCUAUAAUAGUGACGCCGAGCGCGAGAGCACCGCCAGAGUGUGGACGUGAGAAGUUAAAAGGUUGAGUAUUUGUAACUACCAAAGGGUUCUGUUGUUUGAUGAUAUUGGUGCUUGCUUAUGUGAAAUACCUAAACACUCUUAUAUACUGCCUCAAUUCUAUAAUUCUUGUCAUAGUUUUAGUU
rnacentral:lncRNA from 1 species